CUAAAGGUAUUGGUUUGGCCCUUCCUCUGCCUUCUCUACCUCUCACUUAUGUCCUUUAUACUCCUGAAUGUCCUUUUAAUCUUAUUUCCAUCAGCAAAAUCACUCGUACUCUUAAUUGCUUUAUUACCUUUUCUGAUAAAUUUGUGACCUUACAGGACCGGAGUACGGGGAAGACGAUUGGCAUAGGACGUGAGUCUCAAGGCCUCGAUCACCUCACCUCGGAUUCAUCUCCUGCAGUUUGCAUUUCCACUGAUGCUCUUCUCCUCAUUCACAGUCGUUUGGGCCACCCUAGUCUCUCCAAGUUCCAGAAGAUGGUCCCUCGUUUUUCCACUUUGUCGUCGCUUUCGUGUGAGUCAUGUCAGCUUGGGAAACAUACUCGUGUCUCGUUCCCAAAGCGUUUGAAUAAUCGGGCAAAGUCUCCUUUUGAGCUUGUCCACACUGAUGUUUGGGGUCCUUGUCGGACUGCGUCUACUUUAGGAUUUCAGUAUUUUGUCACUUUCAUUGAUGACUAUUCUCGAUGUACUUGGUUAUUUUUAAUGAAAAAUCGAGUUGAGUUAUUCUCUAUUUUCCAAAAAUUUUAUGCUGAAAUCCAGAGCUAGUUCAAUAUUUCUAUUCGUGUGUUACACAGUGAUAAUGCCAGGGAAUAUUUUUCAGCCCCAUUUACUUCAUUUAUGUCUCAUCAUGGGAUUCUUCAUCAGUCUUCUUGUACUCAAUACUCCUUAACAAAAUGGGGUAGCUGAACGCAAGAAUCGACAUCUUGUUGAGAUAGCUCGUACUAUCCUCCUCCAUAGUAAUGUUCCUUUUCGUUUUUGGGGGGACGCUGUUCUUACCGCUUGUUAUUUGAUUAAUCGUAUGCCCUCCUCUGUUUUACAUGAUCAGAUUCCUCAUUUCCUUCUCUUCCCUGACCAACCACUUUAUUUGCUUCCUCCUCGUGUCUUUGGUUGUACUUGCUUUGUUCAUAUUCUCACUCCUAGACAAGACAAGCUUUCCGCCAAAGCCAUGAAGUGCCUCUUCUUGGGAUAUUCCAGACUUCAGAAGGGUUAUCGUUGUUAUUCCCUUGUGACUCAUCGAUACUUUAUUUCCGCUGAUGUCACUUUCUUUGAGGACUUACCAUUCUUUUCCACCACUUCUGAGUCUCUUCCUGUUUCUUAAGUCUUGCCCCUUCCCAUUGUCUCCCCAUCUGAUGUUGUGCCUCCUCGACCACUUCAGGUUUAUCAUCGUCGCCCUCGUGUCGUUGCUCCUCUCCCUUUUGCUGAGGCACCUGCUGACUCACUUCCUAUCCCUUCAGCUUCUCCUGCCCCGACUCUGCCUUCUCCUGAUGAUUUACCCAUUGCUAUUCGGAAAGGUACUCGCUCUACUCGUAAUCCUCAUUCUAUUUACAAUUUUUUGAGUUAUCAUCGAUUAUCUUUACCCUAUUCGUCUUUUGUUUCUGCUAUAUCCUCUGUUUCUCUUCCAAAGAGCAUCCAUGAAGCUCUUUCCCAUCCAGGCUGGCGACAGGCAAUGGUGGAUGAAAUGGCUGCUCUGCACUCUAAUGGCACUUGGGAUCUUGUUGUUUUACCCUCUGGUAAAUCUACAGUUGGCUGUCGUUGGGUCUAUGCAGUUAAGGUUGGUCCUGAUGGUCAGGUUGAUCGCCUUAAGGCCCGCUUAGUUGCUAAAGGCUAUACUCAGGUUUAUGGUUUUGAUUAUGGUGACACAUUCUCCCCUGUUGCCAAGAUUGCUUCUGUCCGCUUGCUUCUCUCCAUGGCUGCUAUGUGUUCUUGGCCUCUUUAUCAGUUGGAUAUUAAAAAUGCCUUCCUUCAUGGUGAUCUUGCCGAGGAAGUUUAUAUGGAGCAACCUCCUGGUUUUGUUGCUCAGGGGGAGUCUGGUUUAGUGUGCAGGUUACGCCGUUCUCUAUAUGGCUUGAAACAAUAUCCUUGAGUAUGGUUUAGCCGUUUUAGUUCUGUUGUUCAAGAGUUUGGCAUGUUUUGCAGUACAGCAGACCAUUCAGUUUUCUAUCAUCAUAACUCCUUGGGGCAGUGUAUUUAUCUGGUUGUUUAUGUGGACGACAUCGUCAUUACAGGCAGUGAUCAGGAUGGUAUUAAGAAAUUAAAGCAACAUCUUUUUACUCACUUUCAGACCAAAGACUUGGGGAAACUCAAGUAUUUAUUGGGUAUUGAGAUAGCUCAAUCUAGUUCCGGUGUGGUCCUUUCCCAAAGGAAGUAUGCUUUAGACAUCCUGGAAGAAACUGGUAUGUUAGACUGUAAACCGAUAGACACACCUAUGGAUCCGAAUGUCAAACUUGUACUAGGACAGGGGGAGCCUUUAGGAGACCCUGGGAGAUAUCGACGGCUCGUAGGUAAAUUGAACUAUCUCACCAUUACUCGUCCAGACAUUUCUUUUCCUGUGAGUGUUGUUAGUCAAUUCUUACAGUCACCAUGUGAUAGCCAUUGGGAUGCCGUAAUCCGCAUUCUUCGAUAUAUCAAAUGUACACCAGGCCAAGGUGUGUUGUACGAGAACAGAGGUCAUACUCAGGUUGUUGGUUACACAGAUGCAGAUUGGGCUGGCUCACCCACAGAUAGACGUUCGACUUCAGGGUACUGUGUUUUUAUUGGAGGUAAUCUAAUAUCUUGGAAGAGUAAGAAACAAGAUGUAGUGGCCAGAUUUAGUGCUGAAGCUUAGUAUCGAGCUAUGGCUUUGGCAACAUGUGAACUCAUAUGGUUGAGACAUCUUCUUCGAGAGUUGAGAUUUGGAAAGGAUGAACAGAUGAAACUCAUCUGUGAUAACCAGGCCGCAUUACAUAUUGCAUCCAAUCCAGUCUUUCAUGAAAGGACCAAACAUAUUGAAGUUGACUGUCACUUCAUUAGAGAGAAGAUCGCAUUAGGAUGUGUUGCUACAAGUUUUGUUAAUUCAAAAGAUCAACUAGCAGACAUCUUCACUAAAUCUCUCAGAGGUCCUAGGAUUAAAUACAUUUGUAACAAGCUUGGUGCAUAUAAUGUAUAUGCUUCAGCUUGAGGGGGAGUGUUGAAUAUAAUGAAUUUAUAGUGUACAAUCUUUCCUUUUUUUUUUUUUAAUAUAGGUCACAUGUAUGGUAGUUAGGACUCCUAGACUUGUAUAUAUAUAUAUUUUCUCAAUUGUAAGUAGACACUACAUGAAUGAGAAUCAAGGUUUUCUUCUCUCUCUCUCUUAACAGACUUCUAUUUUAAUGACAAACUUUUCCCCUGCAAACCUUUUAUGUUUUCAAACUGCCAUAACUUGUCUAAUAUUGACUACAUCAAUCUUUCUUCUUCUGCUCCCGUAACUGAAAUUGCAACCAUGAAAGUCCAAGCACCAUCUUUCACCUCCAACAGCGUCAUCAACACCACAUUUAGGUGCAUCUCCACCCUCAAUUUAACCUUUGACAAAUCUACAAGUUUUAAAGAACUGUGAUCAACCUCCGUUACCUGCCCUCAAUUCUUCAAAAUGAAACGUGAUUGGUUUUUGUUCCAUAGAUGGAACGAAAGACCUCAUAAUUCUAUCCAACACCUCUUAAAUUUUCCAAGUACCAGUAUGUUUUCUCUUGGCGACCAUCUCCUUAGAAGAUAAGCAAGUCCUCCUUUCACUACUAGCCUAUCUUGCUCUUGGAUCCACUCAACCCUUUCAAUGGAGUCCACAAAGAAAUAACCUUUAUGUGCUAUGAAUGGGUUUAUGGAAACCAUUCCCCUCACACCUAGCUUUCAAGCAAGAGCCUUAUCAACAACAACCCAAUCUUUAACUCUUCUUUGACUUUUGUAGAUCAUAAUUCUAGCCCAUUUUCCAACUGACAUUGAGGCUCCUUUCCUUAGACCCUCCUCUUCAACAACUUUUGCAUAGGACCGAUUUCCACUGCAACAACCUAAACCCACCUGUUUCUUUGUCUUCGCCUCCUUUGAAACAUUAAAAGGAUGAAAACGAAACUUUGACAUUGAGGAGGUUUUCCAUCCUUUGUUUUUAACACCCUUAGGAACAAACAAAGUUGUGGCUUUUCUAUUUGUGACAAAUUCUGUGAUUUUGAUGAAUCUACCUUUGCUAUUGAAACAAAUCUCCAACAAACGUGUCCUCGUUUUACCCUUGAACUUCCAAAUGAAACCAAAGAAACCUUCAUCUCCAAAGCCCUCUUGAACUACUUCGACAACCAUGCCAACUCAUCCUUUUCGAAAGCUACCAUGAAAGUGCUUCCUUGAAACCUCUUUGUGAUUGAGACCCAAGUUCCCUUGUGGAUGCCUUCAAACUUUACCUUGAAAGCCUUUUUUUCCACUUCAAACCGCUUUGCCAUUGCAUGCAUUUGGAGUGUCACUUUCUAGGGACUUAUUCUUAUCUUUCCAAUUAAACCGUCUUUUUCCAACAACAAGAUACAGUUUUCCAUCUCUAAUAAGACACUAGACCAUUAGAAAAGGGAUUUAAUGUAAUGUCCUUUAGCUUUUUACCUGAAGGCUGUUCUCCAUUAAAAAUUUGAUUAUUGGUCUCUCUCUCUCUCUCUCUCUAUAUAUAUAUAUAUAUAUAUAUUCAUCAAAACAAAUGAAGAGGAGCCAAUCUCCAAAGCUUAAUUCACCUCUUAUCUACAUCCUGAAACUUCCAAUCUAAUGGCAGGUCUAUGAUAGGGUUCAGGCCCAAAAAUUGCAAGAAACAUAUCCCACAACUAUCUAGUCCUACUAAAGAGAAUUAGAAUGUGAUUGACUGAUUCUUCAUAGUCUUGUAGAUUUUCAUGUUUGGCAUAAAAGUUGUAAUGGAGAAUGAUGAAUGUUUAUGUUCACGCAUAUAUUUAAUAAAUAUAAAGAUGCAGAGAUUUCAGCAAAUGUCCUCUUGAUAAAUCAAGUAAAAAUUAUGUCUAAAAUAGUUUUCUGACAAUUAUCAUCUUAUUGUAAUGAAUAAUCUUGCAGGGGCUUCCCUGUGUGGCUACGUGAUAUCCCUGGUAUAGAAUUUAGAACAGACAAUGCACCAUUCAAGGUAUGAUGUGCCUAUGAGCAUUUAUCUUCCUUAUUCCAUAAUAUUUCUAGAACAAGUUUGAACUUGAUCUUCUUGUUUAUUUAUCAAAUUGCUCACUUCCAUUUAAAAGUUUGGAAGGAAGAUCAACCUGAAUAUAUAUUUGGGCUAAUCCAAUCGGACUAACACUCUAAAUGACAUCAAAUUAUAUGGCAUUUAUAAUUUUGUGUUGCAGUUUUGACGUGAUUCUGGAAAUACCUUUCGUUUUUUCUCCUUUCUUUCCUUUUCAGCCAUCUUCUGCUUCUUUAUUUCAAAUUUCCAUUGAAAGUGUUGACAGUGAUGUUGUUCAAUUUCUUCUGCAAAACUAGAUAAUGUAACUCAAAUCCCUAGUUAAGCAACCCCCACCUUCAAUUUUGUUUUUCCAUACUGGUAUGAUCUGCCUGGAAUGUCUUUGAAUGUGCAAUAUAACAUCAUAAAAUUUGUGAACGCAUGGAAAUCUUUGACGUAUAAAUUUAAAACCUAUUUGGAUGCUAAGAUAAGCCUGAAAAACGAGAUUACAUCACAGGCUUAUACACCACACUGAUGAGGUUAUGUCUAAACUGAAGUUUCUACUGUGUAAUUUGAUUCCAAAAAAUUGGAGGACAUAAUUUAUGUUAUAACUUUAAAUACAUUGAUUUCAUAAUUUUUAAACAUUUCUAAUAUUUUUUUAAUGAAAAAGUGACUUCAGGAAAACAUAGAUUGAAGUGAUGUUGCUUUAAUUGAAUUGGUAUAUGGGCGUCUAUGUGUUGAAGCAAUUCAAUUAAAGCACGCCUUUGCAACAAUUCCCCCAGUUCAAUCCUUUUUGCACCUCUUAAUGUUGCAUGAGACUAUCCAUUGGUCUCAAGGUGCUUUUGUGGAAGGUAGGCAAAUCCUAGAAGUUGUCCUAGUCGGAAGUGAAGUGGUAGACGAAAAAUGCUUUGGAAAAUCAGGAGUUCCCUUUAUGAUAGAUUUUGAAAAUGCUUAUGAUCGUGUGAAUUGAAACGUUUUGGCUCAUGCUUUAGAGAAGAAAGGAUUUAGUCCAAAGUGGAGGUUGUGGAUUUGAGGAUGCUUAUCUUUUGUAAGUUUUGCCAUUCUAGUGAACUGGUGUACCAAAGGUUGAGCUUCAAUGUCUAAAGGCCUAAGGCAAGAUGACUCUUUCCCCCAUUUUCUUUUAAUUAUUGCUGCAGAUGUUUUGAGUAAGAUGGUUGUAAGAGCUGAAGAUAAAGGGUUUUUACAAGGUUUUUUGGUAGGUAAGUACAAGGCAAUGGUGUCAUUGCUUUAGUUUGCAGAUGGUACAAUUUUUUUCUCAGAAGCUAACCAAGAGGAGUUGCAAAACCUUGAAUACAUCUUAAUGCUUUUUGGACACACAUCAGGCUUAAAGAGCAAUCUAGAAAAAAACUCCUUGGCUGGUAUUAAUGUGUGUGAGGACUCUAUUCAACACUUAGCCUUGUUGUUGGAUUGUGCAAUCUCUAUCUAGCCCCUUACCUAUUUAGGUCUCCCUUUAGAAGGAAAUCCUAGAGCCCUUCUUUUGGGGUCUUAUGUUAGAUAGGAUCUCUUGUUGUUUGGAUGGUUUAAAAAAAGCCUUCUUGCCUAUGGAUGGUAGAAUAACCCUUAUGCAGUCUUGUUUAUCACUUAUCCUCACUUAUUUCCUUUUAAUGUUUAAGGUCCUAGCUAAAGUGGUUUAUAGGAUUGAGAAAUUACAAAUAAACUUCUUUUGGUUAGGGUUUGGGGAAAGGAAAAAGAGACCGGCUAAUUGGGUUGGAUUGGUUGGUCCCCCCUAGUAGGUUCAGUAAAGUUAAGCUUUGAUGGAUGUUCCUUAGGUAACCCUAAUUGGAUGGGCAUUGGAGGUGGGAUUAAAGAUCAUUUUGAUACAGUGUUGAGAGCUUUCUCUAAGCAGGUGAGUGUGAGGUUUGAUAUUGAGGUUGAGAUUUUGGCAUUAUUGGAGGGUUUGCUGUAGGUGAAAGCUUUAGGCCUCUCCAUCUUAACUAUAGAGUGAGAUUUUGCUACCGUUAUAUCUUGGUUCAUUAAUAAGGAAAGAGGUUCAUUGAAGUUUGAUAAUUCAUGUGCAAGAUCUUAGAUGUUCUUAGUAAGGAUGAAAAUAUUGGUUUCAAGAGACAUAUUGGUAACUCAGUUUUAUGGAUAUAUGAGGAUACGGUGAAUAUUUUAACACAAGAUAUUAGUGGGGCCAAAAAUUGAUCAAAAUUCAUGGAAAACUCUUAGAAAUGAAAUUAGACGUAUAAUAGACAUUUUAAAGUUGUUUUGUUGAAGAAAUUGACAUAUGUAUGAUAUAAUUUAUGAUAUUAAAUUUAAUUAUAUCAUGUCGGUUAAUAAGAAAUAUGAAUUUUGUAAGUGUACAUUCAUUAUUAAGCCACAUGAAAGAUUUGAUUUUAUUAAAUAUCAAUAAUUUGUACAUAUUACAUUAUAAUGACCCUUUAAUACCAAAAUGAUGACUGGUGUGGUUCAAUGCAAUUGGUAGAUGAAGGAAUCCCAUCUUGUUGUUGGAGACAAUAUUGGUACCAACUUAUUGAGUCUUGAUAGUAAUGAUUAAAAAUUUGAACAUGUCAUGCAUAGAUCUCUUGAGUCUUGCCCAUUGCCUUUACAUGGAUAAGAGACUCGAGGUUCACCCACGUGCUUGGUUCAAAUCCUCCUUGCAUUUGAUAUGGAACAUGGUAUGAUAUUUGUGUAGAAAGAGAAUAACUAGACAUACCAUAGUUUUCAUUGGCUGAACUUGAGCCCAUUGCAUAAUUUUGAGGAGGUUGAUCAUAACGUAUCAUAUAAGCAUGAUAAACAUUAGCCUCAUUUGAUGAGUCACUAAAUCGAGUCCCCAUACUCAUAGACUCAAAAUUGGUUGAAAAUGAGUCCUCAUUAAAUGGUGCCAUCCUCCAUUCUCUUCCUUUGUACAACUUCCCAACAGCUCUUACAUUUGGACUAGCUCAUCUAGAGCCAUGGUCUUUAUCUUGUGUGCAUGGCGUUAAAUCGUCUUCACAAGUGAAUAGCCUCAUUAGAUAUCAACUUUGUUGUUGUUGCCUAACAUCCCUAUUGGAUUUGGAAGAGAAAUUGAAUAAUACUUUAUUAAUUAAAUUAGGUUUACAUCUAGAACUUAAGUAGACGAAACAAUCCCUAAAUUUAGCAACUAACCAACCUAUUGAAUAUCAUCCGAUAUUCUCUCUAAUUCAAACAAAAAAAAUUCGAAUUUAAACACACCAGAACUAAUCCAAACUGAACAACCUAAAAUAAUAGGACUUAGUCAAGCCUUAUCUUCUGUUUUUAUUUUAGAUUCAAAUUUGUAAAAAUGCUAUGGCUUCAACACACCCCCUCAAACUGAGGAAGGGAUAUUGAUCAUUCCUAGUUUGCUUAUAAGAGAAUGAAAAUGCUGUCUUGGUAGAGCUUUUGUAAGAAUGUUUGCAGUUUGAAGCUUAGUAGGUGGGUACUGCAGUAAAAACUCCCCAUUCUCAACUUUCUCCAUUAUGAAAUGUUAGUUUGUUUCCACAUGCUUGGUUUUGUCAUUAUGAACCGAAUUACAGGAGAUGUUGAUGACUGCUUGAUUGUCACAAAACAUUUUCAUUGGAAACUUGGUUGAAAUCUUCAACUUCUGUAUCACACGUUUUAGCCAUAGUCCUUCACAUUCACCAAGUGCAAUAGCCUGGAACUUAGCAUCCGCACUACUUCAAGCCACUACGGACUGCUUCUUGCUUCUCUAGGUAACCAAAUGAUCCCAUAUGUAUGUAGAAUAGCCUGAGGUGGACCUGCUAUCAUUCACGGAACUUGCCUAAUUUGCGUUAGAACAUACUUUGAUUCGUCAUCUGGUAUUCCAAGUGUCAUUUUCAGUGGGAGCGUGCAUGAAUUGACUAACUACACUAACAAGAAAGGCUAUGUUUGACCUAGUAUGGGAUAAAUAGAUUAACUUCGCAACUAGCCUCUGGUGUUGACCAUUGUCAACUGGAGGGAUUUCUUCUUCAUCACUAAGCUUGCUAUUCUGCUCCAUAGGUGUGUCUGUUGGUCUACAUUUGAGCAUACCGGUUUCCUCCAGAAGAAAAAACACAUAUUUUCGUUGAGAGACUGAUAUUUCACUUGAAGUUUGAGCCACCUCCAUGCCAAGGAAGUACCUAAGAGCUCCUAAGUGUUUGAUUUCAAAUUCUCGAGAGAGGGUGUUUUUCAGAUUUAUCAUUUUUGCUUCAUCAUCACCUGUAAGAAUUAUGUUGUCCACAUAAACGAUAAGAAUGACUAUCUUCAUAUCUGAUGAAUGUUUGAAUAACAUUGUAUGAUCAGAUUGUCCUUGAUUGUACCCAGGUUUCAUAACAGAUGAAGUAAAACGAUCAAACCAGACCCUAGGAAAUUGCUUUAGGCCAUACAAUUUUUUUUUUUAACUUGCACACUCAAUUAUUUUUUUUAUCAUCUUUGAAUCCUGGUGGAAUAUCCAUACAGACUUCUUUAUUGAGAUCACCAUCCAGGAAUGCAUUUUUUACGUCUAACUGAUGAAGAGGCCAAUCAUUGUUGACUGUAAUGGAAAGUAGAACUCGAAUAGUGUUGAGUUUUGUAAUUAAAGCAAAUGUUUCCUGAUGAUCUACUCCAUAUGUUUGCGUAAAUCCUUUAACUAUCGAUCUUGCCUUGUAUCUGUCAAUGUUCUCGUCAAUUUUAUGUUUCACAUUGAAAAUCUACUUGCAUCCGAUAGUAGAUUUUCCCAUAGGCAAUUUUGUUAAAUUCCGAGGUUCCAUUUUUCUCGAGAGCUCUAAUCUCCUCGUGCAUGGCUGCCUUCCAGUUUGGAUGUUGUAAUUCCUCAUGAAUGUCCCUGGAUAUAUCAACAUUAGAAAGAUUAGUAGUAAAUGCUCAAAAUUGUGGAGAUAAUUUUUCAUAGGAAACAAAAUCAGCAAUGGGAGGUGUAGUACAUGAUCUAACCCCUUUCCAAAACGCAAUUGUAACAUCCAAAUCAUCUAAUACAAUCGGAUUAGUAUCUGUUAUUGUGUUACCUAAAUUCUGGUCAUGAGGAUCCAGAUUUGGUUCAGUUAACUGGUUGUGAGCUGAGGGCAUGGGAGUUUGUAUAUCCCUGGCAACUUUUCUUCUGGAAUAGACCUAAAGCUCUAGGGUUGAAGCUGCUGGAAGAUUGGGUGCAGAAUCUGAUUCAAAGGGAACAACAGUGGUUCUAGGGCUGGAAUUACCUGAUGUUACAGGGGCUGUUGAGGUGGUAGAUUCGAAAACUGGUGCUGGAAGAGCAAUAUUGGUUGCUGGAUGAGCAAUAUGGGCUGGAAGAGCAAUAUCCCAAAAUUGAUCUUGGUUGGAAUUUCCUGAAAUCUCCCCUUGAAGCUGAGUUUGGGAAAAUAAUCUUGAUGUUCAGAGAAUGUUACAUCCAUGGAAACAAAAAAACCUUUUUAUGAUUGGUGAGUAACAUUUAUAACCUUUUUGGGUUGAAGAGUAUCCCAGGAAACGACAUUUGAGGGCUCUUGGAUCUAGUUUCAUUCUGUUUUAAGCAUGAGUGUUGACAAAAAUGCUGCAACCAAAAAUUUUUGGUGGAAGGGAUGACACUAGCCGAAUGUUAGGGUAGCAAUUUUUUAGGACUUCAAUGGGAGUUUGGUAUUGUAAUACUCUAGUGGGCUUUUUGUUUAUCAAGUAUGAUGCAGUGAGAACGACUUCCCCUUAAAAAUAUUUAGGAACGUUUGUCAUGAACAUAAAGGAUUUAGCAACUUCUAACAGAUAAUGAUCUUUUCUUUUUGAAAUUCCAUUUUGUUGUGGUGUAGCAAUGCAUGAGCUUUGAUGAAUGAUGCCAUGUUCAUUAAAAUAGGGUCUAAGGAUUGAGUUAAAGUAUUCAGUACCAUUGUCAGUGCGAAAAAUUUGGAUUUUGGUUUGAAAUUGAGUGUUAAUCAUGACAUUAAAAUUUUUGAAAAUCUCUUUUGCUUUAGAUUUUUCUUUUAACAAAUACACCCAACAUAUUCAUGUAUGAUUAUAAAUAAAUGAAAUAAAACACUUAGAGCUUGUUAUGUUGCUAAUCUUAGAUGGUCCCCAUAACCAUGUAUGAGCGAAAAAGGAUGAUAUUUUUGAUAAGGUUGUGAAACAUAAGAAUUUUGACAAUUGACAGAAUUUACAAUGAAAUGACUAAGUUUUUAUUUCUGAAUAAUGAUGGAAACGACUUUUUCAAAUAUGGAAAGCUUGGGUGGCCUAACCUAAAGUGCCAAGCUAUUAUUUCAUGAUAAUUGGAAUUUGUAAAAAAGGAAAGAACAUUGCAACUUGCAUUCUGAGCGUCUCCUUCUGAAAUUCACAAUAAUUAGGAACUAAUUUAGUAACACAGUUUAGAUCUUUGGUGACUUUGCUUAUAGAGAGCACGUUAUACAUAAGCUUGGGAACAUGAAGAAUAGAGAGCAAUCUAAAGUUAUUUGGAGGAAUGACAGUCCCUUUACGGGCCACUAGUGAGAAACAACUAUCAAUUGUGUUAAUUUUAUAACUCUCAGAACAAGGCUGAUAAUAGUCAAAGAGAGUUAUUUCAUUGAUCAUGUGAUCGGCUGCAUCGGAGUAAAAAAUCCAAGGGUUUGACUUUGAAAAAACAUUCAAAGCUUUGGAACAUACACCUUUUUGGGGAAUGGAACUUGAUCCUACAGUGGAGGUACUUGAAGGAUCACAUGUGAGGAGUUUCUGAAGUAGCUCCAUUUGUUCUUGGUUGAAAGGUGUUUUGUCUGUUAAGUUAUUGGAUUGUGGUAGUUCAUCAUUGGUGGCAUGAUAAUCUCAAGGUUUGUUUUCCUGUGUUCUGUUACUUUUCCAAUUGUGUGGAUUCCCAUGAAUUUUCCAACAGGUUUCUCAAGUGUGAGCAACUUGAUUACAAUGAUCACACCACAACUUGUUGGAUCUCCUUUGUGAAUCAAAGUGUUGAGAAUUCUGUUCCCCGGUGGCUAAGGCUGAUAUGUCAUUGCUUGGAAAGGAUUAUGACGAGGUGUGGUCCUUCAUCAUGACCUUCUUUUGACUCUCUUCUCGUCAGACUUUAGAACAUGCCUCUUGAAGUGAUGGGAGUGGCUUGGUGCUAAGAACCUUUCCUCAAACUUCAUCGAGAUUCUUAUUGAGUCCGACCAAGAAUGUGAAGAUCCUUUCUUUUUCCACAAUUUUUUUAUAUUUGAUGUUGUUUCCAACGCAAUCCCAUUCCAGUUCUUGAACACAUCCAGUUGUUGCCAAUAUCGAGAGAGAAUGUUGAAGUAUUGGGUCACUCUAAGGUCCCUUUGUUGUAAUUCUAGAAGUUGGCUUUUGAUUUUGGAUAACUCCGCCGUAUUUUUACUGUUUGAAAACGUCUCCUUGGCUACAUCCUAGAUUUCUUUUGCCGUCUUGUAGAAUAGGAAUGUCUGGCCUACGUUUGUCCCCAUGGAAUUAGUAAGCCAAGACAAUCAUAUUGUUGUCGAAAAACCAGGUUUUGUGAGAUGCAUCGUUUUUCGUUAGGAUUGUCUUCAUGCUUGUGAUGUAAUCGUCUUUGCCUAUGACACAUCACUACUAAUUAAAACCAUUGGAGAUAAUUCUUGCCAUUUAAUUUGUGGAUAAUAAUGUAGUGAACGAAAUUCUCAGAAUCGCCAUUAUCUUUAGAAUUGACAAGAGAAUAAUCGGAGGUCACCUCCGAAGAGCUAGGUGGAUGUUCGCCAAUCAUUGCGGUUUUCACCAUGUUUAACUUUUCCGGUUUAGAUCGUGGGCUUUGAUACCAUAUUGGAUUUGGAAGAGAAAUUGGAUAAUACUUUAUUAAUUAAAUUAGGUUUACAUCCAAAACUUAAAUAUUCAAAACAAUCCCUGAAUUUAGCAACCAACCAACCUACUGAAUAUCAUUCGAUAUUCUCUCUAAUUCAAACAAAAAAAAUUCAAAUUUAAACACACCAGGACUAAUCCAAACUAAACAACCUAGAAUAGUUGGACUAAGUCAAACCUUGUCUUUUGUUUUUAUUUUAAAUUCAAAACUCCUAAAAAUCCUAUGGCUUUAAUAGUCCCCUUCAUCAUUUCUCAUAUUAUCAUCACCUUCAUCAUUAGUUUCACUUCUUGAAGCAUCAUAACCAGAAGUAAAAGUACUAACAACACUAGGUCUGUUACUUUGUCCAACACUUUUGGAGGCAACUGAAUAUUGUGAAUUUAAUGUUGCCUUAAAUGAAUCCUCAGUGUCUUUGCUAAAACUCUCAUUAUGAACUUCUUCAGAUAACACUUGUUCAACAUCAACACCAAAUUCUCGAUCAUGAGCGACAAUUCGAGGAUCGGGAUUUAUAACGUCAUCAUCUGAGUAUAGAGGCUUGAUCCAUUGAAACAAUUGAUUAUCCUCUUCUUCACCCAUCUCCGCUAAAAUGUCAAAGAGAGUAAGGUAAUCUUUUUCAACAACUUUAUUAUUUUCUACCUUCAUAUCACUUAGCUUUAGUUUCAUGUUAUAAUAAAAAAAAACUAAUUGUUGUAGUUAGGGGUAAGCCAGAUGAUUUCGUUGCUUAUGUGGAUGAGAGCGAAUGUGCUCUAGUUUCUCUUAUAGGUAGAAAAUGAUGCAGUUUGUGAUAGAACUUUGAUGACCAACUUUCUCAAUGUAGGCGUAUGAUUUCCAUCCAUGAACCAUCAUUCAGUUGCGACCAAAUUUAUAAUUUUUUUUUUUGAUAGAUAAAGAGAAUAAUAUUAAACAGAAAGAGGAAACACCAAACUAGUGCCCUCAAGGUAUACAGGGAGUAUACAAAAGUAGCCCACAAACUCGAAACCAAGGGAAGAGGAAAUAAACAACAACCCCUACCCUUACUUGGAGCCUAGAGAAGAAGGGCUCAAAACUAUAAACACCCUAACCAAAGCCCAAAGAUUACAUACAAAAUAAUAUUUUAGCCUUUGGAGUGAAAACACCUCAUUCCCAAAAGCCAACAAAUUUCUUUCCUUCUAGACUAACCAAAAAAUACAUAAGGGGACCAUUUGCCAUGCCUUUUUACGGGUUUUCCCCACAAAUGCUCUAUGCCACAUAAGGAGAGUUUCCUUAACUGAACCAGAGAGAACCCAAGCCACACCAAAAAGGGAGAAAAAAAGAUUCCAUAGAUUCCAUAAUGCUCGCAUCUUAACACAAUGAAGUAAAAGGUGAUCCACCGUUUCUACUUCAGAAAGGCAAAGAAAACACCUAUUUGCCAAAGAGUACCCCCUCCUCUGUAGUUGCUCCAAAGUUAAGAUUUUGCCCCAGGAGGCCUCCCAAGCGAAGAAAGCUACCUUAGGGGGUACAUUUGCCCUCCAAAUACUACCAUAAGGGAACAAAGAAGAACCUCUGGGCUCCAGAAUAGAAUAAAGCGACUUGACCGAGAAAGCUCCACUUCUUGAUGCUGUCCACACCACUUUAUCCUCGUCCUCCCUUUGCACUCUAAAGGCUUGGAUUUUUAGCAUAAAACACUCCACCAUGUCAAUCUCCUAAUCAUUAAACGCCCUUGAGAAAAGAGGGGUCCAACCACCCUCUACACCAUCUGGGUUCCACACAUCCGAUACUCAGGCGUCUUUAGCCAGGGAGAUGGCGAAUAAAGAAGGGAAAGACUCGCAAAGAUGCUCAUCCCCACACCACUUGUCUUGCCAGAAUCUCACUCUCCUACCACUACCCAUGCGGUAGGCUAAAUUGCUAUACAUACCCAACUACUCCUUUCUAAUAGCUUUCUUGAGCCCUACACCAUGCCUCCCACUUACGGCCCGAGUACACCAUCCCUCCUCCUUUACACCAUAUUUGUGACUGAUCACUUGCUUCCACAAAGCCUCACUUUGAAUGGCAAAACGCCAAUUCCACUUACUCAAGAGAGCUUUAUUCAUCAAAGCUAAAUUUCUCACACCCAACCCACCUUUCUUUCUUUCCAAACAAACCAAGUUCCAUCUAACAAAAUGUGGCCUCUGCUCUAGAGCUCCUCCACCCCACAGAAAAUCCCUCUGAAUCUUCUCCAACCUCAGCCUUACUUUUCUGGGCAAAUAAAAGAGCAACAUGAAGUAAACAGGCAUGCUAGAAAGAAUGCUCCAGAUAAGGGUGAGUCUUCCUCCUUUUGAUAUAUAUUGUCUCUUCCACAUAGCAAGCCUUUUUCGAAACCUCUCUUCAACUCCAUCCCAUACCACCUCUAAUUUAAAGGGUGCCCCCAAAGGCAGAUCUAGAUAACAGGAAGGCAGACCACCCACUUUACAGCCCAAUUCCGAUGCCAAAUCCUCUAUAUCAUGCACCCUCCCCAUCGGGAUAUUCUCACUCUUCUCCAAGUUAACUCUCAACCCUGAGCAAGCCUCAAACCACAUGAGAAGCCAGCUUAGAUGCGUCAAAUGAUCCUAAGACUCCUCACAAAACACCAAGAUGUCAUCCGCAAAUAGCAAGUGAGAUAUUAGAAUCCCCUCACCUCCCCGACCUCUUACCCUCCACCCUGAUAGAAAGCCCCCACUAAUAGCCCUUCUCAAUAAGCAACUAAAUACCUCCAUAGUUAUCACAAACAGAUAAGGGGAGAUGGGGUCUCCUUGUCUUAAACCCCUUGAACUUUGGAAAAAACCGGAGGGAGAGCCAUUUAUAAGAACAGAAAAUCUCACAGUAGAGAUACACCACUCUAUCCACUUAAUCCAUCUCUCCCCAAAGCCCAUUUUUUUAAGCACUGCCAACAACUUCCAGCUGACAUGAUCAUAGGCCUUCUCUAUAUCCAACUUGUACAACACACCCCCUUGAUUGCUUUUCAACCUAGAAUCCACAGCCUCAUUUGCAAUCAAAACUGCAUCUAGGAUUUGUCUACCCUUCACAAAGGCAUUUUGUGGUUCCGAAAUCACUUUUUCCAUAACCUUCUUGAUUCUAUUUACCAACACCUUGGUUAACAACUUGUAAAGGCUUCCCACAAGGCUAAUCGGCCUGAAAUCUUUCAAAUCUUGUGCACCUCCCUUCUUUGGGACUAAAACCAAGAAGGUGACAUUUAGAGAUUUUACAAAUCUGUCCCUUUCACGAAAUUCUCUAAAAAGGCCCAUAAUCUCAACCUUCACCACAUUCCAACAAAAAAGCCAAAAAGCCAUGGUAAAUCCAUCCGGCUCGGGGGCUUUGUCUUUGCCUAGAUCUGAAAGAGUUGUAAACACCUCUUCUUCCGAAAAAGGAAUCUCCAACCCCUCAGCCUCACUGCUAGCUAACCCCAUAAAGGACAGCCCGUCAAUACUAGGACUCGACCUCUCUUCUUUUGAAUACAGCUUUUGAAACGCCCCCACCACACUAGUUUUUAAAUUAUUCUCCUCUGAGUACCAACAACCAUUUACUUUCAACUUGGAUAACUUGUUUCUUCUACUAUGAGCAUUCGCUAUCCUAUGAAAAAAUCUGGUAUUAUUGUCCCCCUUUUUCGCCAUCCAUGAGAUCUCUUCCCUUAACACCCAAGACUUAUAAGACUCCCUUGCCUCUUUUCUUGCUUCACACUCUUCCAGAUUUAAGGCUGCACAUUUCUCCUUUUCAUCCCAAUACUCAACCUGCCUGAGAGCUUCACCCUUUUUAGUCUCAAUGAGACCAAACUCUUCUUUAUUCCAAUUCUUCAAAAUAUUUUUAAGAGCCCUCAAUUUUGCAUCUAAGAUAAAACUGAAUGUCCCUGUAAAUUUUAAACUCCCCCACCACAUCUUCAUCUUCUCUUUGAAACCCUCCUUCUUCAACCACAUAUUCUCAAAUCUGAAAGGGGAAGGUCCCCUCUUCAAACCUCCUCCUUCUAGGAGGACCGGGAAGUGAUCUGAGAUUGGUUUGGGGAGAAUUCCCUACACAACCUCAUUGAAAAGGCUAUCCUAGUUGUUUGUCACUAAGAACCGGUCAAGCCUAGACUAGGUCUGGUUAUUCAAGCCUCCUCUCCACGUAAACGGGCCCCCCGUCAAAGGAAAAUCCCUCAACUCUAAAUCCUCUAUCACUUCUGAGAAUCUCCUCAUUGAAGCAAUAAGCCCACCUCCCCUACUGCGCUCCUCUGGAAACCUUGCCAAAUUGAAAUCCCCUCCCACACACCAUGGGUCACUCCGUAAACCUUUUACUGAUCCAAGUUCCUCCUAGAAAUCUUCUCUAUCACUACUGCAGACCGGCUCAUACACUCCAGUGAACACCCACACUAUACCAUCCACACAAUUUUUGAACUUGCACGAAAUUGAGAAAACCCCUUCUUCCAAGCCAACCAACUCCACCAGUCUGUUAUCCUAGAACACCAGAAUACCACCAGUUCCACCCCUAGAAUUGACUGCUCUCCAGUCUAGAUGUCUUCCCACCCCUAGACUAUGAACAAGUCCCGUAGUCAUUUCUUUAAUUUUAGUUUCCUGUAAACAAACCAUGUCCACUCUUUGGGAUUUGAUGACUGACUUGAUAAUCUUCCUUUUAUCCCUAUCAUUAGCCCCUCUAACAUUCCAUGAUAAAAUUCUUAUCUUCAUUUGCACCCUGAUCCAGAAGCCCUUCCAAAAAUACCCACGCUAAAACCCAUUUUUGCUUUCUUAUAGCUUAUAGUCCACUCCAGCUUCUUGAGUUCCCUAUUGGAUUUUGAAGAUUUUAAACUCGUCUUCCUAGACACCCCUUCCUUACCAUUUUUCUCAAUUCUCCCCUUCAUUCUCCUUAAGAGGUACAAAAUUUCGUAUUCGAAACCUUCCGUCGGCAUACCCAAGCAGCGAAUAAACAUCGCGAGACAGCUUGAACUCCACCCUUCAUCUUGCCUCCCUUCUUCUAGGUGAUAGUCACUCCAUUUCUCAAAGGGACUCGCAAGCUCCGACCCAACCGUGACAAGUGCUAAACCAUUCCCUCUCUCAGGGUCAACCGAACCCCAAGAAGGCUCACUCCAGCCACCGAGAGCCGAUACAACUCCAUUCCGCACUACACACAGCGGAAUCCGACAGAACUCCCCUUCCGCACCACUAGAAUUCCCCUCCGACACCCCUAUAGCUUUGACGUGGCCCUAGAGAGGAGAAGAAGAAGAGGAUCUCCGAAGCCCCAAAGACAAAGAAGAUUUAUGAUCAACGGAAUACUUGGAUGCCUCCUCCAUCAAAGCCUCGUCGGUGGCCAUCAAACGACGCGACAACAACUCCCCGACGACUGUUACUUCAACAGCCAAGAGCUCCAAAUCCAUUCCCCCAUCACCCCCUACGGGAACAAACGGAGCCCUAGCCGAGAACAAGCACGUGACAACCUUAUUAAAAGUGGGCCUAGGAGGCCCACCCAGGCCCGCCUCUUCUAUGCUAAUGGACGAUGGGCCUUUGGCCCAAACCACUUCACCACUUAAGCCCAAAACGUCUUUAUCUUUAAAAGCCUUCCCAACAUUUUUUUCUAGGCCUAGACCCACAGUCAGAUGAGUCCAACUUAGCUGCACUAGGCAGCUUACCCUCUGCAACCACUGCAUACCUAUGCCUUUUGCCACAGACAACUUGCUCAUCUGUCCCUCGAGACUGCAUAUCAAUUUGAAAAUUUUGAACAUCUUGCACGCUAACACUGGCACGUGUAUCACCCCCACCCUCAUCCCUGACCUCCCGCCUCUCAUCUUUAUACCAGGCGGACCUUGUCACUACCUGGGAGAACCAUGGGGGAGUUUCCCACCAUAGACUAGCCAUCCAACAAAAAUUCCCGGUUGCCACCUACAAAGUACCUGGUCUAUUCUUCCCAGAGGCUCUCACCAAGAUACGAGCCCACUACAACUGUGAGAAAAAAGUUGUUUCCUCAUCAACAGCUAAGAAACCCCUACAUCUCUCUCCAAUACUCUUGAACACCUCUCUACUCCAAAGGUGAAGUGGAAGUCCGACGACUUUCACCCAAACUUCCUUGGCAUGACUCCCAUUCCUAAAACACCCCACUUCAGGUCCCCAUUUAUGCAGGGGAAACUCUCUCUCCUUAAAACAUCUGCUACCCCUUAAGAGCACCAAAGCCGCUUCAACUUUAUUUUCAAAUUCGAACAACACAAGGGCACCCAACCUGGAAUUUUUUAAACCUCCCUUGAGAGACCACCUUUUAUACGCCCACUCCUUCAAGAAGGUUAAAGGAGGAACUAACUCAAAACUGUCUCCAAAGCAUUCUACCAGGCAACGACUAAGCUGUUGUUCCCUACUGAGUAGGUCACGGUCCCCAACAUGCACCCACAAAGAAUCCCCUAAUUCCCCUGUCUUGGCUCUCACGACUUCUACAUAUACUCCUUUCCCUUUUUCUUUUCCCUUGACACUAUAACUAUGCUUUUCAGAGUUGGAAGUACCAAACUCACCUUUGCUCAAAGCUGGAGUGCUAACUCUAAGGGCCCUUAACUUCUGAGCCAGCAGAAGCCACCUUCCUACUAAGCCUUUUCCUUAUGGAAACAUGAGAGAAAACCUCUUAGCUUCCAAAUCCCUCACCGAGCAAAGCAAAAACCUACCAGCUUCAUUUGAAUGACACUCCAGCCUAUGCUUUCUUCCUCAUUCUUCCCAAACUUUAAGACACUUUGAGCUUGACUCUCCUCUGCACCAGUCUUCUACACCUUCCAACAGAUAACUUAAGCUCUUUUCUCCAAAUUUUAUCCAAGAGGAAAAGCCUUUGCUCAUUUCCAAAAUAAUCCCUCUUUGUUUGCCUCGAACCCCUUCAAUGGAGAUUUCGAACGUCUUAGAUUCCACUGCAGACCAACUCUUACCACCCUUCGACACUCCUCUCCCCUUCGAGAAAGCAACCAUUUUUUAUGUCAUUUGCACAAUUAACCAACUAGAAAGAGGUGCGACCAAAUUCAUAAUUGUCCUACGUUGUAAAUCUCUACAUAAUGAUAAUGAAUUUAGUUUUCUAUUAACAAAUGGUACUCAUUGGGGACCAUUUGUAACCUUGCUAUGAUCGCCAUGCAAUUACCGAAUCCUCUCGUCGUAUCUUGAAAGAGUGCAAGCUAUUCAUUCAAUGUUCAAUAUUCAAUAUAUUAAUAUCAUAUUGUUACUAAAUGUUGAGAUAAAAUGUUGAAUAAAAUUAUUGUUUAAUUGGAUCGGAUAAUAUAACAUUUUUUAGUUUACCUCAUUUCCAAAUUGACCAAAUGUUUUGGCCAUCAGAUCUAAUCUAGCAAAAAUCUCAUGGAUAGCUUGAAGUAGCUCAAGAUCGCUACCAACUCUAGGCUUGUACUAAAACCUGGGAUUUAAAAAGUAUGCUACAACAACUAAUAGAAUUAGUAUUUUGUAAGAGAAAAUCAUAUAAUUCAAAAAUAACAACUUAUGAAGAUAGAUAGUACUAAAUUACCUGUUGCAUUAAGGGGAUGUUUGAAUGUUUUCUCCCCACGAUCUUUUAUUGUUUGGAACAUCCAUUCUCUAGCAUGUAGAUGAAUGAAGUUCUUUUUCAUCACUUGCAUUAUACAUAUAGGGUAUUAUAGGAACAACUUUUGAAUCCACAAGUCGAAGCACCACAUAUAGUGGCUCAUAUAGUGAAACUACUUUUGCCAUUUUGUCCCAAUAAGGAUGCUCGACCAUUAAUUUCUCCAUUUCUUGUUUGAUUUUUGUCUGACUUAGCUUAAGUUGUGCCCAUUCAUCACUCAUAAACAAUUUCUUCAAAUUGCCCCUCUUAGAGCAAUGUAAUUGGUUGCAAAUCUAGUAGUUUCAUACAGGGUUUUGAAAGGCAUUUUCUUGACAAAUGUUAAGGCUCGCUUUAAGGCAAGGCGUUGGAAAAAAAACGCAAAACACAAAACAUAAAAGGAGCAUGCUUUUUUCCCUUAAGCGCUUUUGAGGCGCACUGUCACAGGAUGCUUCAAAUGACCCUCCCCAUGGGCUUAUAUAGGAGGAGGGAAGCUUCUGGAGACUCCUGGAGCCAUCUACACUAAGCCAUUGGUGGGAAGAGUGUGGAAGGUUCUAGAAAUGCCUAGAGAUGUCCACACAUCUCUACACUAUGGUGGAAGGCAUGAGAGGAGUCCAAGGCUUUCUAGAAGAUUCUAAAGAUCUCUUGCAUAUUCUUGUACAUAGGGUUGUACAUAGAUUAGUGUAGGGGGUUCUAGAAUAUUCUUGAUUUGUAAGGAACCCUCUAAGGUUCUAGAGAGUUCCAUUGGUGCCUAUAAAUAGGUGAGGGCCUCAUUUGGCCAAGGCACCACCCAAAUCACUUCCUAAUCAAGCAAGUGAGCUUCCAAGCACUUGUAAAGGCUUUCUUGAGUUAAUAGAACUUCCAUUCUUCAAGGAGUUGCCUACCAAGCUUCUUAAGCUUUUGAGUCGUGAGUGUCUUAGCCUAGCAAGUUAAGCAUUGGGGGAGCAAGGCUGACUUAGCAAGAUCAAGCGUCUUGACUUGUCUAAGUGCCGCACGGGCUUAGUGAACGACUAAGUCCGUGACAGCACGCCUUUGAUGCCUCCCUCAGUGAAGCGGGAACUUUUUCGUUUGUUGAGAUGGCCAAUAAAAACAAAAAAAUAUUGAAGGAAAAACCCCUAUUAAACCCCAAAAACCCACUAGAGAGCAAAUAAAAAAUGAUUUUGAAGGAGAAACCUAACCUUAGUUCUCUCUAUCUUCGAUGAGCCGAAUAUCGAAGAAAAGACGACGAAAUUGCAACUCCUUUCUCACUUUGAGUCUUUUUCGACAUCUUCUUGUUGCCCUAUACAUUCGGCAACGAUGCUGUGUGAAGACAACUGUUGCUUUCUCUUCAGAUUCUCCACAGGUUGGUGUGAGACUGAUCCUCAUAUCCCUUUCUUUAUUUUCUCUUAGUUUUGAUUUCAUGACCAGUUUUUGAUUUUUUUUUAUGCUCUUCUCUCUUUUCUCUCACUUUCAUUCUCACUUGCAAAGCUAAAAGUUUUCACUUUGAUUUCAUUGCACAUCCACUAUUCUGACAACUCCAUUCCCGAUUUUUACUUUAUUUUAAUUUUCAAACAACUCCAUUCCCAAUUUCUACAACAUUGCUCACUAUUCACUAGUCUGACUCCACUUAAUUUUUUUACUUCAUUUUAUUUUUACUCCACGCAAAAUUUCUACCUUGUUCACUAAUCCGAUUUCUCUUAAAAUUCUACCACAUUCAUUGUUCUAUUUUUUUACAAAAAAAAAAAAAUAACACCCAAUAGUGAACAAUGACCGUGAACAGUGAACAAUGAUUUUUGGAAAAAAAUAUUUUCUUCAAUUUUGAAAAAAUUUUAUUUAUGUUAUUUACUUUUGAAAUUUUAAAUCAAAAAUUUUAAAAUUAAAUUUCAAGUCAAUUAUAUCUUGCUACUUUUGCUCAAUCAAUUAUAUUAUUAUAUAUAAAAAUUUGAUUAUUAUUAUUAUUAUUAUUAUUAUUAUUUUUAGAAUGAGUUCCUCCAAUUCAAGAACUUCAUGAAAAGAUUUUGUGUGGAAGUAUGCUAUUGAAGUUUCUGACGAGAAAUAUAUAAGAUGUAAAUUUUGUAAUCAAAGAUGCACAAGAGGAGUAAAUAGACUUAAACAUAACUUAGUCGGAAAUCAUUAUGGUAUGAACCAUGCAACAAAGUUAGUGAAGAUGCUAGAUUAGAAUGUAAGAAGGCAUUGGCCAAUUAUAAGGAUAAAAAAAAAAAAAAUGAAUUGCUCCAAGAAAUUGGUAUGGGUCUAACUUCAACGCAUGAGAGUGCCUUUUCUAAAACAAUGGGGACAUUAGGGAGUGGGAGUGGGGAACCUUUACCUAGGAGACCCAUGGAUAAAUUCACCACUUUAUAACCUAGACAAAAUGCUUUGAAUUCCAAAUGGAAGCAAGAAGAAAGGAAGGAAGUGUGUAGAAAAAUUGGUCGAUUUAUGUACUAAAAAGGCUCCCAUUCAAUAUGGUGAAUGAUCCUUAUUGGGUUCCUAUGAUUGAUGCUAUUGCAAAUUUUAAGCCUGGGUUUAAGCAUCCAUUUAUGCAUGAAUUGAGGACAUGGAUUUUUAAAGAAGAGGUGAAUGACAUAAAUAUCAUGAUGGGAGAACGCAAAAAAGCUUGGAAGCAAUAUGGAGGUUCAAUUAUGUUAGAUAGUUGGAUAGAUGGAAAGAGUAGGUGUCUUAUAAAUUUUUUGUGAAUAGUCUUGUUGGCACAUGGUUUAUGAAAUCAAUUGAUGUAUCUGAUACAAUAAAAAAUGAAGAAUUGAUGUUCAAAUAUCUUGAUGAGGUGGUUGAAGAAAUUGGAGAGGAGAAUGUUGUGCAAGAUAUCACUGAUAAUGCCUCUAAUUAUGUGAAUGCUGGAACAAGGCUUAUGGAAAAGAGGAGAAGAUUGUGGUGGACUCUUUAUGCUGCUCAUUGAAUUGAUUUGAUCUUGGAGGAUGUUCGAAAGCUAAAUGUUCAUGCUAAUACACUUUUACAAGCUAGGCAAAUAGUGAAGUUCAUAUAUUGACAUACUAGGGUUCUUAACUUGAUGAGAACAUUUACAAAAAACCAUGAACUUAUUCGUCCAACAAUUACACUAUUUGCUACUGCAUUUCUUACUCUCCAAAGUCUUUAUAAGCAAAAGCAAACUCUUAUAGCAAUGUUCUCCUUUGAAAAAUGGUGUUCAAGUACAUAGGCCAAAAAGGUAGAAGGUGUAAAAGCCUUAAGUACAAUGGUGUUUGAUCCAAAUUUUUGGCCUCAUGUUGCUUUUUGUAUAAAGACUACUAUUCCAUUAGUUAGUGUCUUGAGAGAGGUUGAUUCAGGGGAAAGGCCAACCAUGGGUUAUAUUUAUGAGUUGAUGGAUUUAGCAAAGAAGAAGAUUGCAAUUAAUUGUGGAGGCAUGGAGAGAAAAUAUAGCCCAAUUUGGAGAAAAAUAGAUGCAAGAUGGACUUCGCAACUUCAUCGACAUUUACAUGCAGCAGGUUAUUAUCUUAAUCCUCAAUUGCGAUAUGAAGAUAAGUUCUCUAAUGUAGAUGAGGUGAGGAAGGGAUUAUUUGAAUGCCUGGAUAAGAUGUUGGAUUAUUAAGAACGUUUUAAAGCUGACAUUUAGUUGGACUCAUAUAACCAAGCAAUAGGCGAAUUUGGCAGUUGUGUUGCAAUUGAUUCUCGAAUAUUAAGAAGUCUUACAUGUUGGUGGAUGUGUUUUGGAGGGUUCAACAUCGUAGUUGCAAAAGUUUGCUAUUCGAGUCCUUAGCCUUACUUAUAGUGCUUUGGGAUGUGAGAGAAAUUGGAGCACUUUUGAAUUGGUAAUACUUCUAUUUUUAAAAAUUUUAUACAUAUGUUUCUAUUCUAAUGUUAGAGAACUUUAAUUUAAUCUUAACACAUAAAUUUGUUUCUUUUAUUAUUUGUGCAAUGCUUCCAAACAGGAUCUUGUCCCGCUACGCCACUCCCACCUAGGGACGAAAAUUUCACUAUAUAUCACUAAAAUAUUGGCGAUGUAUUAGCAUAUCGGCCGGGCCUAACACAAAUAUGGGAUGGAUAUAUCGACCAUACGAUUUUUCAGUUUUUUUCUCCAUUUAUUGUUGAUAUUUCGACGAUAUUUUUUCAAUUACUGAUAUUUUGACGAUAUUGCAGAUAAAUCGGUGCCACGCCAAUUGCCACAUCAAUGUUUCCCUUUCAUUUAAAAUUUUGAAAUUGAAACAAGCCUUAAACGCAUCCGACCCAACUUAUUGUAGCCCAAUCCGUGCCUCAAUAGUGCACAAAAUGGGAGCAUCCCUUCUUAAAUAUAUCUUCAUUUUGCUUCCCAUUUCCAAUGUGGGAUUCACUUACAUGAAGAUUAGAAAAAUUAUAAACCCAAAGUACGCCACUAGGACUUGAACCCUGGUAUUUUGUAUGGAACUUAAGUCACUUGCGAGUUAAGCUAUGUUGGUCUUGGUUUCAUAUGAUGCAUCAUAUAUAUUAGUUUAUAAAAUUAUUAAAAAAAAUUAAUAAUUUCAAUCAUUUAAAUUAUUAAUUUUCUACUAAUUACAUACUUUAAAUUGAAUUAAGAACAUACCCGAUACUUUAAUGUAAUUGAUCAACCUUGAUUUGGAGUUAAUGCACCACUUGAACACCAAAUUGCCAAAUUUAUAAAAUAUUGAGAAUAAUCACAAAUAAAAUUUGAGUAAUAUGAAACCAAAAUACUUUCAAUUGAAUUAUGGAUGAAAUCGAUUGAGAAUGAAGUAUUUAUAGAAAAAUUUGGGUCAAAAUAACUAUUGGAUGAUCAUUUUAACGUUAGAAUUCAUUUGUGGCUGUUGGGUCAAAAUUUGGAUGAAAUUUGACCAUUGAAUCUUCAAAUAACUGUUGGAAUCACAUCCCAACUGUUGGGUCAAGGCCAGAUUUAAUCUUGGCCCUUGAAUUAGGUAUUUGACUGUUGGGAUCAACUUUAAAAAACAUAGGCGUGAUUCUGAUCGUUAGAUUAAGGCCGGAUUUAAUCUUGCCCCGUUUGAUCAUGCUUUUUGAUCGUUGGAGCACCUUUAAAAUACACGGGCAUGAUUUUGGCUGUUGGAUGAGGCCAGAUUCAAUCCUUGGCACAAAAUAAAGUGCACUUUAAGCCACUGAAAUAAUCGGCAAAAUUGCCGAUUUUUCCUUGAUAAAUAGCCAAUUUUUUAUGCCGAGGGAUGGAAACUUUGCUGCUUUGCUGAUUUUUUGAUUUGCACUGAUAUAUUAGUGAUUUAUUGCUGAUUUUUUGUUGAUUUUCUUGAAACGUCGGUCAGUCGAGAUUUUGGUGCUGUGUUUCGUUUUGGCCAUGGCCAAUACCUGAUAUUUCGCUGAAAUUUCUUUGAAAUAUCGCAAAAUUUUUGUCCUUGGUUGUCAGUGAGUUGGGUUGCUCCCUGUCUUCGGUUUCUUGUUCAUCUAACCAAGUUGUAGACUAGUUAGCCAAAAAAGGAGCUAGGUAUUUGGCCUCCUUUGUCGGAGACUCUCUUCCCCCUUGAGUGUGCUUUAUUUCUCCUUUGUAUUUCUUUCCCCUAGUGGGGCUUGACAGUUUGUUAUUUUUUAACAUUUUCUGUACAUUCUUGAAGGAUUGCUUGUCCUUCUUCUACUUAUCUUUUUAUGAUAAAUUAAGGUGGUUGUUUCUAUUCAAAAAAAAAUAUAUUUCUUUAAUUGAAAGGCCUCACCCAAUGAAAAUUGUGGAAUUUUGAAUAUUUACCUCGUUAGUUUUGUUUUGUUUUUGCUAAGAAAUGCAAAUCUUUUGAUGUAGUGCUUGGAGAUGUAAGGCCAUAGUUCUAGGGCUUUCAGAAGGACUGUCCCUCCAUAGGUUCUGUAAAGUUCUCUCCCUGUAUGCACUAGAUAAAUCAUUGUGAACUGUGUAGGAUGAGCGACUAGCUAGCUGAAUGCUCUGAGAAUUGAGUUCAUUGUUUUUUACUGUUCAUGGGCAGAUCUUACCCUUAGAAGUUUCCAACCCAAUCUUUAAGUUUUUAUCUUCUUUUUUUCAUUUCUUUUUACAUUCCACCUUACUUCUCUUCUAUUUUCUUCUGAAAAAACAUCUCUUCUUCAGUCUUCUUUCACAUACAUACUUUUUUUUUGAUUGGAUUCUUUCACAUACAUACUUAUAACUUGGGAAAUCUUUAAAUAUAUUUGAAAGUGAAGUAGGGAGUCUAUAGACUGUAGUUUACUUGUAUUAUUAAGUGAACUUCUCAGAAUUGAGUUAAUGGUGUCUGGAUGUUUGAAAAUUUAUAUUAAUAUUGGUGGUUACCAUCAAAAGUUUGAUAAUGGCUUACAUUUUGCAGGAUGAAAUGCAGCGAUUUGUUAAAAAGAUAGUGGAUCUGAUGCAGAAGGAAAUGCUUUUCUCUUGGCAAGGUGGUCCAAUUAUCAUGUUGCAGGUUGUACAAUAACUUCUGAAAGUUUAACAUGAACAUGAAAUAAGCAGCAUGUUUGGAUUUUCUAAGGUUGUUCGGUUAAAGUCUACAGUUUUAUAUCCUGAGCUUUGUGCAGGCCAGAUAUUUUAAUUUUUGUUAUUAGUUUUUCACACUUAGACUUACUAUGCAUUAAUAUUAAUGUGGUUAUUUUCUUUAAAAUAAUACAUUUUCAAUUUGUAUGUCAUAACCAUGGUGGAUUUUUAUCAGAUUGAGAAUGAAUAUGGAAAUGUUGAAAGCUCAUUUGGUCAGAGAGGGAAGGACUAUGUUAAAUGGGCUGCUAGAAUGGCUCUUGAGCUUGAUGCUGGGGUUCCUUGGGUCAUGUGUCAGCAAGCUGAUGCUCCUGAUAUUAUUGUAAUUAUUUCUCCCUUAUAUCUUUUGGAUUUUAAUUUUUCUCUACAGAUUUGAUUGUACAUUUUUACGCUGGUUUGUCUAGAUGGUAGACUAAGAACAAAGAGGUUGAGAGAGAAUAAAUAGAGGGCUAUAGGGGUCCUCCUCUUUCUUUUCUCUCCUUCUAUCUAUAUCACACCAAUGGUGAACAGUUAUCAUACAUGUGCAGUUUGCAUAGUGUAAGAAGUCCGGUUUGCAACUCCUUUGAUAAAAAGUUGUACUGAUUUCUGAUGGGGGAAAGCCUUUUAAAGUUUAUUAAAGGAGGAAAGGGAAGACCUAAGUAAACUUUAAGUAGGAUUUAUAUUAAUUAGAAUUGAAUUAGGAUUGGUAUUUGUUGGAGUCUAAUUAGGAUUAACUAGUUGAGUUAUAAUAUAAUUAGAAUUUGAGUCAUGAUAGGUUAUUAGAGUCUUAGUAGACUUUGGAUUUUAUAAUUAGAAUUAGAAUCAUAAUAGGUUAUUAGAGUCAUAGUAAAUUUUGGAUUUCUUAGAGAAGCCUAUAAAUAAGCUAAUCAAUGUAAAUCAAAGGGAUGAUUGAUAUUAAUAAUAUUAUGUUUUCUUUCAUUGCAAGAUUGCAAUCCUCAAUGGUGAGACUCCAUUGAUUUUCUUCUAGGCGAGACUCCUAGAAGGCCUUAGCGAGACUCUAAGGUUUUCGAUAUUUUCUUUGUUGUUUUUUCUUUCUCUCUAUUUCUUAUCUUAUAUUUUUCUCUACCAUAAAAUUUAUUCUUUGUUCCUCUUCUUACACCCUAAAACUAAAACCCUAGCCCACCUACCCUUGAGUGUAGGCAACCAUCCUAGGGUUGUCCUACAUUAAUUUUGGUAUUAGAGCCAAAGUUCUUGGCUUGAAGGCAUAUGUAAUUAAGGAGUGGAGCAACUUAUGCAAGCAUGAGUUCCAAAAAAACUUCUAGCAAUCAAGAUGCUGCUACAAUAUGCUUGGAGGAAAUUUCAGCCACACAACAAUCCUAUCAAGAUGCUAUAAUACAACUAAGUAGCAAACUUGAUGAGAUCAUGCAGUUAUUAGAAAAGAGUCAAGAAAAACGACCAAUUGAAGAUGGGAUUGCAAAUCAUCAAUUUAGACAAUCGCCAAGUCGAUCACGUGAAAAAUAAGACAAUUUCAUGAUGGAGAAUCAAAGAAGGGCCGAACUUCUUGAGCUAGACGAUGACGCGACAAAAAAGGUACGUCUUGAAGUUGCUGAAUUUUACAGAAAACUAAAUCCAACAGCUUUUCUUGAUUGGAUUAUGUCAAUGGAAGAUUAUUUGAUUGGUAUGCAAUGCCCUAAAAUAUAAGAGUUCGUUUUGUGAAGGCAAAAUUGAAAGGAGCAACACAUCUAUGGUGGCAUAAUAUUGAGAAUCAAGUUCAUAGAACUGGCCGACCACCUAUUGACACAUGGGAUGAGAUGAAGUUGAAGAUGAAGGAACAAUUUCUCCCAACUGAUUAUGAACAACUUAUGUAUGCAAAAUUGUUUUCCCUUAAACAAGGUAUCAAGUCCGUUGAAGAAUAUACAGAAGAAUUCCAGGAACCGAGCAUUUGAAAUCAAGUACGGGAAAGUGAUGCUCAACUUGCAGCCCAUUACAAAGCUAGACUUCGAAUGAAGAUUCAACUUGAGACGAUAGCUACACACACUUAUACCGUAGAUGAUGUUUAUCAACUAGCCCUCAAAAUAGAAGAAGUCCUCAAAUUUUGGGUUCCUAGGCGUCCAAGUUCACAAAUUGGGAGCACUUUCUCCAACAGGACACAACAAGCAAACUUUUAAGCACAUAAAGCUUUGGAACUUCUAAUCAUGUGAAUGGCGGAGGCAUCAACAGACUUCGAAUGUAGCUCAUAAAGAUGGUAAUAAGGGUAAAACUUCAAUGAGUACUGGAGAUGGAAAAGUAGACGUGACUCCUUUAUGCUUUAAGUGUGGUAGGCAUGGUCAUUAUGCUGUUGUGUGGGACCAAAGGUUUACACUUUUGUAUUGAAGAACCGGAAUCUGAAUUGGAGAGUUACUUAAAAGAAUAAGAGACUUACAAUGAAGAUGAACUUAGUGAAGAAUGUGACUACUAUGAUGGUAUGACAAAAGGACAUAGUCUUGUAGCACGACCUUUAUUAGCUGUCCCAAAGGUAAAAGGAGAAGAAGAUUGGUAACGUACUAGCAUUUUUCAGACACGUAUUUCUUGCCAAGGGAGAUUAUGCACCAUGAUUAUUGAUGGAGGUAGCAGUUUGAACAUAGCUUCGCAAGAACUUGUUGAGAAGCUAAACCUUAAAAUAGAGAGACAUCCAAAUCCAUUCAGAGUAGCAUGAGUUAAUGACACCUCUAUCUCAGUAAGUUUUCGCUACUUAGUAAUAUUCCUUUUUGGUAAGGACUUUGAAGAGUCUGUAUGGUGUGAGGUUUUACCCAUAAAAGUAAGUCAUAUUUUACUUGGAAGACGUUGGCUUUUUGAUAGAAGAGUUCAACAUGACAACUAUGAAAAUACAUAUGCUCUCAUACACGAUGGACGUAAGAAGAUCCUUUGUCCAAUGAAAGAAGUCCCUCCAAUUAAGAAGUCAGAGGAGGCAUAACCAAAAAAGGUACUUACUAUGUGUCAAUUAGAAAUAGGGAGCAUGGAAACUAAAGUUAUUUUUGCUUUAAUGGCUCGGGAAGUGGAAGAAUUUAAAGAGUAAGGAAUAUCUAGCAAACAUACAUAAAAUCCUUGAUGACUUUUCUGACUUGUGGCCUGCAGAGUUACCUAAUCAACUUCCUCCUAUGCGUGACAUACAACAUGCCAUUGAUUUGAUUCCCGGUGCAUCAUUACCAAAUUUACUAGCCUACGGAAUGAAUCUAACAAAACAUGCUGAAUUGAAAAGGCAAGUUGAUGAGUUACUUACUAAAGGCUUUAUUCGUGAAAGCCUAAGUCCUUGUGGAGUUCUUGCCAUAUUAAUACCAAAGAAAGAUGGAUCAUGGUGGAUGUGUGUGGAUAGUCGUGCAAUCAACAAAAUCACAAUCAAGUAUUGAUUUCCAAUUCCAAUACUUGAUGAUAUGCUAGAAGGGUGCUUGUUUUAUAAAAAUCAUUUAUGCUUACCAAGGACGUCUCUACGUGAUCAUGUCAUAUGGGAACUUCAUGGAAGCGGAAUGGAUGGACAUUUUGGACAAGAUAAGACCAUUGCUUUGGUGGAAGAUCACUUCUUUUGGCCUAGUUUAAAGAAGGAUGUUUGGAAGGUUAUCAAACAAUGUCGAGCAUGUCAAGUAGGAAAAGGUUCAAAGCGAAAUACAGGGUUAUAUACACCUUUACCAAUUCCAUCCAAAGCUUGGGAAGACUUGAGCAUGGAUUUUGUACUUGGAUUACCAAGGACACAGCGAGGUUUUGAUUCUAUAUUUGUUGUAGUUGACAGAUUUUCCAAAAUGACACAUUUUAUCCCAUGUAAGAAGACUUCAGAUGCUUCUUAUGUUGCUGCCUUGUUCUUUAUAGAAGUAGUUCGAUUGCAUGGAUUACCACAAUCCAUUGUUUUUAUUGCGAUGUCAAUUUUAUGAGCUAUUUUUGAGAAACCUUAUGGGCCAAGCUAGGUACUCAAUUAAAAUUUUCAAGUUCUUUUCAUCCUCAAAUUGAUGGACAAACAAAAAUUGUGAAUCGCAGUCUUGGUAAUCUUUUGAGAUGCAUUGUGAGAGAUCAGUUGAGAAAUUGGGACAAUGUCUUACCACAAGCCGAGUUUGCUUUCAACAGCUCCACUAAUAGUACAACUGGGUACUCACCUUUUGAAGUGGCAUAAGGGUUGAAACCUAAGCAACUUGUUGAUCUUAUACCAUUACCUACUUUUGUUCACACUAACCAAGAUGGUGAUGCAUUUGCACGUCAUAUACGAGAUAUACAUGAAAAGCUACGAGAAAAAAUCAAAAUAAGCAAUGAAAACUAUAAAGAGUCAGCAGAUGCACAUCAAAAUAUUCAGUUUCAAGAAGGUGAUCUAGUGAUAGUUCGUCUAUGUCCAGAAAGAUUUCAUCUGAGCACAUGUCAAAAGCUUCAAGCUAAGAAAAUGGGUCCAUUUCGGGUAUUAAAGCAGUUGGGUGAGAAGGCUUAUUUGUUAGAGCUCCCUUCAGACUUGCAUUUUAGUCCAAUAUUUAUUGUAAAAGAUUUGUGUAUCUACCAUGGCCAUCACAACGAUGUAAGUGAAGAGUUGGAUCUUCAAUUACCACCUGCUCUUAGCCUACGUCCUGAGAUUAAGUAUGUUCUUGAUGGUUAACUUGUUUUUACUCAACAAGGUGGAUACCAAAAAAUUUUGGUGAAAUGGCGAGGCAAACCACACUUUAAAAAUACAUGGAUUGCGAAAACGGAUUUUUAGAAGCUUAAUCCCAAUCUCCAUGAAUUGUAUCAAGCAUCUAACUCAUUGGAGUUGAGUUCUUCCAAGCCGGAGGGAAUUGAUGGGGGAAAGCCUUUUAAAGUUUAUUCAAGGAGGAAAGGAAAGACCUAAGUAAACUUUAAGUAGGAUUUAUAUUAAUUAGAAUUGAAUUAGGGUUGGUAUUUGUUGGAGACUAAUUAGGAUUAGCUAGUUGAGUUAUAAUAUAAUUAGAAUUUGAGUCAUGAUAGGUUAUUAGAGUCCUAGUAGACUCUGGAUUUCUUAGAGAAACCUAUAAAUAGGUUAAUCAAUGUAAAUCAAAGGGAUGAUUGAUAUUAAUAAUAUUAUGUUUUCUUUUAUUGCAAGAUUGCAACCCUCAAUGGUGAAACUCCAUUGAUUUUCUUAUAGGUGAGACUCCUAGAAGACCUUAGUGAGACUCUAAAGUUUUCGAUCUUUUCUUCGUUGUUUUUUCUCUCUCUAUUUCUUAUCUUAUAUUUUUCUCUACCAUAAAAUUUAUUCCUUGUUCCUCUUCUUACACCCUAAAAAUAAAACCCUAGCCCACCUACCCUUGAGUGUAGGCAACCAUCCUAAGGUUGUCCUACAUCAUUUUCUGUUUUCCAAAAUGGUGUACAAUUAAGGCUUGUGUCCAGUUUGUCACUAAUAAUAUGCUUAUCAACCUUGAUAUGUUUAGUUGUGCCAUGCUGACCUGGAUUAAGAGCUAUAUUGUCGUAUAGAUUCCUUAUUGGAAUGGUGGACAUCCAUAGCAGAUUUCUGGUAGACCACAAUCCAUUCUUUGUGCUUUUCAGACAAAUGAAUUCACAAGAACCUUGAGUAUCACUAUGCAUUUUACUUCUCCCUAGACCUGGCAACAACCGUUGGUCUCUUGCUUCACCAAACCAUUAGAUCAGUGCCAGCAAAAUGCAAUAACGCAUGAGCAAAUAUCUUCAUUCAUAAAACCAGAGAUCUACAACAGUGUUGUCUCUAUCCUUGGGCGAUCAUGCAUGUCUUUAUUAGGUUCCAAGAAUAGAUUUCAUGUAUUGAAGAUCCUAAGAACUACUUCCCAUAUGAGAUGAAAAAAGUUCAUGAAUAAAUUCCUUCACAAGGCCCACACGAUAGGCAAUGUAAAGUCGAGCAUAGAAAAUAAAAAUAAGCUUUUCCACCACCUUCUGAAAUGUCCCAUCUACUAGUGCACAUUUGCUAUCCCUGUUAAUUGAAUAAGGGUCUCGCUCCUUUAAACUCAUAUCAUGUCCAUCUCUUUUAGAAAGAUCUAGGACAUUCCUUUGUGAAAUGUAGAUGUCCCUUUUUGAUCUAUUCACUUUAAUUCCAAGUCCUUUAGAUUCCAAGUUUUUUAUUUUAAAAUCUUUGGUGAAGUUUUCUUCAAAUACUAUAUUAUUAGAUAUGUGUCCUAUAAAAAAAAAAUAUUAUUAGAUAUGUGGAAAUUCGGAAGGUAUAAUUGUACCUUAGAGCUAUACUGCCAACUAUAUUUCUAGUUGUACCACAUAGUUGUACUACACAGUUGCAUACAAUUGUUUCCUAUUCUAAUUUUAUUUCCCAAUUUUAUGAGAGACUUUCUCCUGAUAUCAAGGAUUAGAUUUCUUUUUCCUAAGACAGAUGAUCUUAGCCAUUUAUGUAUAAAUAUCGAUGCAAGAAUUAGUUUGUAUGUAGAGAGAGAGAAAAAUUAAUAUAUAUAUAUAUAUAUAUAUAUAUAUAUAUAUAACUUGAAGAAUAGGGUUUCGCGGGAAUAAUUUUCUUUCAUUGAGAUUAUUCUUUUAUAAAGUUUACAACAUAUACAAAUCCUUCAAAUCAGGAAACUAAAUCACUGAUUAAAGGGUAAGAAUAACUCCUAACAAUUACUUUCCUAAAAAUACAAAGAUUGACAACUAAUAGCUAAUUUACAGCUUUGCAAAGUUAUUUCUUUCCAUAUCAGUUUCGGUUUUCCAACACUCUUCCUCAAGCUAGCUUAAAGAUAUCUUCCAUAGCUAGCUUGCCAACUAGAAAGUCGAAUUGCCUCUUGUGUAGUUCUUUGGUGAAGACAUUAGCCACUUGUUCCUCAGUAGGGAUAUAGGUCAUACAAACCAAUCUGUUGUCUAUCUUCUCUUUAAUGAAUUGCUUGUCCACUUCCACAUGUUUGGUGCGGUCAUGGAGAACCGGAUUGUGAGCUACUGAAAUUGCUGCCUUGUUGUCACAAUACAACUUCAUAGGAGAUGAACAUGUCAUCUUUAACUCUUCUAGUAAUCUUCUUAUCCACAUAAUCUCACAAGUACCAUGAGCUACAACUCUAAACUCAGCCUCAGCACUGCUUCUAGCAACCACGUUCUGUUUUUUACUUCGCCACGUAACCAAGUUUCCACUUACAAAUGAACAGUACCCAGAGGUGGACCUUCGAUCCACUAUGCUUCCAGCCCAGUUUGCAUUGGUGUAGGUUUCAAUUUGUAGGUGUCCUCGUGACUUAAACAGAAGACCUCUACCUGGUGUCCCCUUUAGAUACCUUAGAAUCCUGUAAACAAUUUCAAAAUGCUCUGGUCUAGGCACAUGCAUAAACUGACUAACCAUACUCACUGAGAAUGCUAUGUCAGGGUGUGUAUGGGAUAGGUAAAUCAAUCUCCCAACAAGUCUUUGAUAACGAUCCCGGUCCUUCACAUUCUUGGCUUUCGUAGGCUGCAGUUUUACAUUCGGCUCUAUAGGUUUUUCAGCAGGCUUACAUCCUAACAUAUCUCUCUCAUCAAGAAGAUUAAAAACAUACUUUCGUUGAUUUACAAAGAUACCUUCUUUGGACCUAGCAAACUCCAUCCCAAGAAAGUAUUUUAAUGCUCCCAGGUCUUUAAUCUCAAAUUCCUCAGCAAGUGUCCCCUUUACCUUCUCUAGUUCAUUGCAAUCAUCCCCAGUUAACACAAUAUCGUCAACAUACACAAUUAAGAUGACUACUUUACCUUCAUUUGAAUGUUUGUAGAACAUCGUGUGAUUAGCUUGACUUUGAGUAUAUCCAUAAUGCUUUAUUACUUUGCCAAAGCGCUCAAACCAAGCUCUAGGCGACUGCUUAAGUCUGUAUAAGGACUUCUUCAAUUUGCACACUUUCCCAACUCCAAAACUUUCUUCAAAACUUGGUGGAGGACUCAUGAACACUUCCUCCUCUAGGUCUCCAUUAAGAAAGGCAUUUUUAACAUCCAAUUGGUGUAAGGGCCAAUUGGAAUUUACUGUAAGGGACAACAAAACUCUAAUCGAGUUUAUUUUAGCUACGGGAGCGAAAGUCUCUUGGUAGUCUAUCCCAUAGGUUUGAGUAAAACCCUUUGCCACAAGCCUGGCUUUGUAUCUCUCAACACUUCCAUCUGCUUUACUCUUUAUUGUAAACACCCAUUUGCACCCUACAACUUUUUUUUCCCUUGGUAAAUCUACAGCCUCCCAAGUGCCAUUCUUUUUUAAGGCAUUCAUUUCCUUAAACACUGCCAAUUUCCAACUCGGUUCAUCUAGUGCUUCUUGAAUAUUUCUAGGUACCACAAGUUUUGAAAUAUUUGUAGUGAAUGCUCUAUGGUUGUCAGAAAGGUUACUGUAGGAGAUAUAUUUGGCAAUGAGAUGUUUAGUGCAGGCUUGGGUUCCCUUUCUGAGAGCAAUAGGGAGAUCAAGGUCAAGGUCCUGUGCAGGAACAACUAGGGCUAAUCCUAAACCAAGUUCGGGUGCAGAUAUUUCUGGACUUGGACCAAAGUGUGAUGGUAAACUUAGAUCAGUAACAGAAGAAGAAGAAGCAUGUAUAGGAGUAGGAAUAGAAGGAGGGUUACCUGAGACAUUUAGAGAGCCAUUGCCCAGGGCUUUCGGUUGACCAUGUGCUGGGAUGAUCGGCUGGUCUUUACUUCUUCCAGAGACUUUUUUCCUUGAAUAAACCACAGACUCAAGAUUGUUUUUAUUUUUUUUCAUUCGUAGUAUUUCUUCUUCUGACAGGCCAAUUUCAGAUUCGGAUUUAAUAGGCUUAGUUUCCUUAUUUUCUUUUUCAAGAGAGAUAUCAAGAAUUACACUAAGAAAAGGUUCAACAAUUUCCCAAAAAUUUGGUUCCACUAAUUUCUCCCCCUGAAGUAAAUUUUUGGUAAAAUAUGGGACAUUUUCCAUAAAGGAAACAUCCAUAGUUGUGUAAAAACGUUUUGUAAGGGGAUUAAAACAUUUGUAACCCUUUUUAUUAGGAGUAUAUCCUACAAAAACACAUUUUUCUGCUCUAGGGUCUAACUUAGAUCUUGACCUUUUUGGAAUGUGUACAUAUGUAGUGCAACCAAAUAUUUUCAAGGGUAAUUCAAAAUUAAUUCGAGAUUUUGGAAAUACCUUUUUCAAGCACUUCAAAGGAGUGGUAUACUGCAAAAUUUUUGUAGGCAUCCUGUUGAUUAGAUAUGAAGCAGUUAGUAUGGCAUCCCCCCAUAAGUAUUUUGGAAUAUUCAUGUAAAACAUCAUAGCCCGUCCUACUUCUAACAAGUGUUUAUUUUUACGUUGAGCUAUUCCAUUCUGUUGAGGGGUAUCAGAACACGAGGAUUGAUGUAAAAUUCCUUUCUUGUUUGAAAAGGUUUCCAAAACUUUAUUAAAGUACUUAGUCCCAUUAUCAGAUCUCAAAAUACUGAUUUUUGUUUGAAAUUGGUUUUCAAUCAUUUUGUAAAAUUCUUUAAAAAUCCUUUCAACUUCAGAUUUUUCCCUCAUUAAAUAUACCCAACAAAGACGUGUAUGGUCGUCUAUAAAGGUCACAAACCAUUUUUUUCCUGAAAUUGUGGUUACUUUUGAAGGUUCCCAAACAUCACUGUGAAAAAGAUAAAAUGGUUAUGAUGCAUAAUAGGGUUUUGAAAUGUAAGUUUUACGUUGGCUUUUUGCCAGUAAACAACUUUCACAUUGAAAUGAUAAAGGAUCAACCUUUUGAAAUAACACUGGAAAUAAAUGUUUUAAAUAAGAGAAACUAGGAUGACCUAAUUUGCAAUGCCAAACCAUUAUUUGAUCACGAACAAAAAGAGAACUAAUACUACUUAGUCCUUGAGCAAUUUUAUUACUAGGUAAAUUAUCCUCGAAAUAAUAGAGACCAUUGAUCAUCCUGGCACUGCCAAUCGUCUUCCUCGAGCUCCGGUCCUGAAAAAUACAAUGGGAUUCAUAGAAGAUAACACAACAAUUAAAAUCUCUAGAUAAUUUGCUAACAAACAAGAGAUUACAAGUAAGUUUAGGAACAUGGAGAACAAAUUUAAGAUCUAUUCCCUCAGAGAUUUUUAUUAGACCUUUUCCUGCAAUAGGUGAGAAAUUACCAUCAGCUAUUUGUACCUUUUUAUUUCCAGGACAUGGUGAAUAGGAUUCAAACAUGUUUGAGGAAUUGGUCAUGUGGUCGGAUGCUCCAGAAUCGAUUAUCCAUGGAGUAGAUUUAAAACGACAAGAUAGAGCAUAUAAUUCAUUACCUGUGUGUGCCAAAGAAACACUAGAAGUACCGGAUGUCAAGUUGGAUUUCAGCAGUGCAAGAAGAUGCUCCAUUUGCUCAGUGGUGAAGAGACUGGUCUCAGCCUCAUUAGCAGUAGGAAUAAUGGCUUGGCCUGGUUUGUCACCUGUUUUUCCUUUCCAAUUUGCAAGUUUCCCAUGGAUUUUCCAACAGUUCUCACGAGUAUGGCGAGGUUUGUUGCAAAAAUCACACCAAACCCGUGGUCUUUCAUCUGAUUUGCGCUGAAACGCAGCAACUUUAUUAUAGCCUCCACCUGUGGUAACCAAGGUUGAACCUUCAAUAGCAACUCCAGGUCCCUUCUUGCCCAGCAUCACAUUCCUCUGACUCUCUUCUCUUCUAACUUCUGAAAAAGCUUCACCAAUUGAAGGCAGAGGUUGUCUUUCAAUGAUUCUCUCUCUUACCUCAUCAAACUCAACAUUAAGGCCAACCAAGAACUUGAAGAUCCGAUUGUCUUCCAUGGUCUUCUUAUGAUGACGUCCAUCCUCGGUAGAUUUUCACUCAUAGGUGUUGAAGAGGUUAAGGUCUUGUUAGAUCCGCUUCAAGGAGUUGAAGUACUUUGUGACGUUGUCCUCCCCUUGUCGUAUCUCACCGAGUUUGAGGGUUAAUUCAAAGAUCUGUGAUUGAUUCCCUAAAUCAGAAUACAUCUGAUUUACAUUCUCCCAAAGCUCUUAUAUUGUUGGAUAGCACAUGUAAUUAGAGUUAAUGUCUUCUUCCAUAGAAUUCACAAGCCAUGUCAUCACCAUGGAAUUCUCAGCAUCCCAUAUAGUAUAGUUCGGAUCAUCCACUGCAGGAGCCUUCUUUUCACCCGUUAGGUAGCCCAUCGUUCCACGUCCUCUAAUGUACAUCCAAACUGAUUGAGACCAUCUCAGAAAGUUGUCACCAUUCAAGCGAAUCGUGGUGAUUUGGACAGAGUGAGAUUCCGAGGUGGUAGGACUGAUUUUUGAAGAAUCAGUGAUGAUGGGAUUGUUCAGAGAAGGUUGAGGAACAAUAGUGGACUCGUUUGAAAUAUCCGACAUGGUUUCAGAGAACAGGGAUUGAAAGAGAGAGAAAUGAGGAUUUCGGCAAGGAAAUUGCUAGCUCUGAUACCAAGUUGAAGAAUAGGGUUUCACGGGAAUAAUAUUCUUUCAUUGAGAUUAUUCUUUUAUAGAGUUUACAACAUAUACAAAUCCUUCAAAUCAGGAAACUAAAUCACUGAUUAAAGGGAAAGAAUAACUCCUAACAAUUACUUUCCUAAAAAUAUAAAGAUUGAAUAACUCCUAACAAUUACUUUCCUAAAAAUACAAAGAUUGACAACUAAUAGCUAAUUUACAGCUUUACAAAGUUAUUUCUUUCCAUAUUAGUUUCGGUUUUCCAACAAUAUAUAUUUUCUCCCUCAAAUUUCUUCAUGGUAUUAGAGCUAAUUCUGAACCAUUUAAUUUGUCUAUGACCAAAUGUGAAAUAUCCACCAAGAAGGACUCCUCAACCUUAGUAGUCACCUCCACUCAAGAAGCUCCUAUUAUAAGCAACAAUGGAGGAUCAGAUGGUGCUGUUGUUCUCAUUACUGGACACAAACUGAAUGGGCAAAACUAUCUUCAAUGGUCCCAUGCAGUCAUGAUGCUCAUAUGUGCUAAAGGGAAGGAUGACUACCUCAUUGGUGCAGUGCAUUGACCUACAAAAGAAGAUCUGAUAUUCAAAAGAUGGAAGACUGAGAAUAAUAUGGUUAUGUCUUGGUUAAUUAACUCAAUGAACAAUGGCAUAGGGGAAAAUUUUAUGCUCCAUGAAAUAGUGCAAGAAAUUUGGGAAGCAGCAAGAGAGACCUAUUUCAAUAUAGAAGACACAGUACAAACAUUUGAAAUUGAAGGGAUCCUUCAUGAUUUACACCAAGGCAAGUUGUCUCUCACUCAAUAUUUCAGUCUUUUAACUCACCAUUGGCAACAACUAGACAUGUUUGAAACUACCAAUGGGAUUGCCCAACGAAUGCAAUCAAAUACAAGAAGAUCAUUGAGAAGAAAUGGAUCUACAAAUUUUUAUUAGGAUUGAACAAAAAUUUGGAUGAAGUUCGAGGUAGAAUAUUGGAAACUAAACCUUUAUCGAACAUUUGGGAAGUUUCCUAAGAAGUGUGUUGAGAAAAAAGUAGAAAGAAAAUCAUGUUGGGGUCACAAACCAACUUGUCAUCGAGGGUUCAACCUUAAUGGCUCAGGGUCCUCCCAAUCCUUCUAAUGAUAAUCGACCAAGAAAAAAGAGGCCUUAGUGUGAUCACUGUUAAAAACUAGGUGACAUCAAGGACACAUGUUGGAAAAUCCAUUGUAAACUAGUAGAUUGGAAGUCGUUACGUCCUCAAAAUGAUAGAGAAAGUCGAAGAUGUUGUAGGUUUUUGGAGUAAAAAUAGAAAACACAAAAAUUUGGGGUUGAAAAUUGCAUCUAUUCAUUGCUGCAAAAUCUGAAUUUAUAUAGAAAAAUAAACAAACAAAGCCAAAAAAACUGCCUACAUAUCUUCAAUAAAUUUCUAAUAGCAUUACUAAGUCAAAUAUGAAUUCAAAAAAAUUCAAACUAAAAUAAAAAACUGUUCCUGUAAUCUUACAAAAUAUUUUCAACAGAACACUAGCCUUGCUAGUUUAUUUUAGCCCAAAUCUUGCAGCAAGUAUAGCAUUUGUCAUCACUCCUUGCUAUUUUUGCUACAAACACCAAUUUUUUUCCUCAACAAUUCAAACCUUGAUUUUGACACUCCCUUUGUCAAAUUAUUAGCAAGUUGAGCUUCUAUAUUGCAAUGCACCAAAUUCACUUCAUCAUUCUUUCAAACUUCUCUAACAAAAUAGUACUUAAUUUUAAAAUGCUUUGUCCUUCCAUGGAACACUGGAUUUUUAGAAAUCGCUAUAGCAACUUGAUUAUCAACAAAAAUUUUAGUUGCAUCAUCUUGAACCAUCUUUAAAUCUGUCAUGAGCUUUCUUAGCCAUAAGGCUUGAUUGACUACAGUAGCAACUGCAACAUACUUAGCCUCAGCAAUAGACUGAGCUAUAAUUUCCUACUUCUUUGAACUCCAACGAAAAUAACUUGAUCCAUGACUAAACAAGUAGCCUGAUGUGCUCCUCAUAUCAUCACAUGAUCUUUUUUUUUUUUUUUUUUGAUCAAAAAUGAAGAAAUUUAUAUUAAAAGAAGAAAAGAUACAAGAGAAAGAAGAGAUACAAGAGAAAGAGAAGAAAACAAGAGAAGGAUGAGAGGUCCUUCCCACAAAAACAAAAACUGAGCAAAAGAGAAAACACCCAACUUUAGAAAACUAAAAACAAAGAACACUCUCAAACUUUUAAAGCGCAAACCGCAGUCCAGUUGAGUUGUAAAACACUAAGGNNNNNNNNNNNNNNNNNNNNNNNNNNNNNNNNNNNNNNNNNNNNNNNNNNNNNNNNNNNNNNNNNNNNNNNNNNNNNNNNNNNNNNNNNNNNNNNNNNNNGAAUAGAAAAAGCCAAAUAUUUUGGCUUUUUCUAUUCAACUAAAAAACAAACACCACCUAAGAGGAACUCCGUUAAAAGCUGUAGUACAAGAGGCUUAAAAAGAGGAAAAGAAAAGAAGCAAGUCCCAUAACAUCUCUUCUGUUCUCCCCUUAUCCUAAAAAAUCCUAUUGUUUCUCUCUUGCCACACCAUCCAUAACAAAGUAAGGCAAGCGAUUUGCCAAAGUGUCUUGCCUUUUAAUGAAUUCCCCAAACCUUUAAAAGCAAUAACCAUCAUGUUCACGAUACUCCUUGGAGGGACCCAAGCCAAAACUGCUAGAUUGAACAGCUUGUGCCAGAGUCCAAUAGUAACAGGACAAUGAAGAAAAAGGUGGUCGAUCGAUUCUCUAUUUCCUUUGCAAAGAAUGCACCAUUGAGAACAGAGGGAUUUGUAGGGUCUUCUCAAUUGCAACUUGUCAUUGGUGUUUACCUUCCCAUGUACUACUAACCAAGCGAGGGCAUUAACGUUUGAGGGGGCUUUUGAACUCCACAAAAACUUGGCCGGAAGGAACAAGAUAGGAUUUGAGACUUUUGACAAGGCCAAGAAAAAAGAUUUCACUAAAAACAAGCUUGAUGAUGACAAAGACCAAGCUCUUGAAUCUUCCAAAGAAGGAGAGAAAAACAUUGAAUUAAGGGAGAACAUUAAUCUCUGAAGGAGAUCAAUUUCUGUAUCAGUAAGAUUGCGAUGAAAAUUAAAAUUCCAAGACAGUGGAAAGGAAUUGCCAAGGACAUUUGAGACAGUGAGGUUUUUCACAAAAAUCACUCUAUAAAGACCAGCAAAUUGAGAGCACAAAGUUUGGUUACCCCACCAAAGAUCUUCCUAAAAACGAAUUCUCUUCCCAUUCCCCACCACUAGGCGGACAAAAAGGGAAAAAUCUUGGAAAACUUGAGCAAUAGCCUUCCAAGGACAUCUGUGUGACCAUCUAACCACCAUGUUGGCGUCCCAUCCAUUAGGAUGUGUCCCAUAAAUACUCGCAAUAACCUUAUGCCAAAGACCAUUUCUUUUUCUAGGGAACCUCCAGAGCCAAUUCCCUAAGAGAGCAAUAUUUCUCAAAGAAGUCUUCCUAAAACCCAAACCUCCCAACUUCUUUGGCCUACAAACAACAUCCCAUUUGAUAAGAUGAUCUUUCUUCCCUUCCCCCGCCCUAGACCAAAGAAAAUCCCUUUGCAACUUCUCAAUCUUUGAGGCUAUUGAUACUAGGAUUUUGAAUAGGGAGAGGAAGUAGGUAGGAAUGUGGGACAAACUUGAUUGAAUUAAAGUAAUCCUCCUUCCCAAAAACAAAAAAGCCUUUUUCCAACCAUCCAGCCUCCUUGAAAUUCUCUCAACCACCGAAUCCCAAAAGCCUAUUGUCUUGCUCAAUCACUAUUAGCAAAACCAUGCAAAACCAACUGAUCUUCUUUCUCAAACUUUAUUCUAAGAUCCAAAGUCCCCAUGAUGUACCCAAGCACCCUCUUAGCAGCCUCAUUGUGCAACUCACUUGCACAAUGCAUAUACCUGGACAACAGACUUAUAAAGAACAUUAUAUCAGGUCUUGUUGCUGACAAAUACAUCAAACAGCCUAUGAUACUUCUGUAUGAUCCCUCAUCAACCUUUGCAGCACUAUCAUCUUUUUUAAAUUUCUCAUUUUGAGCCAAAAGGGUACAUAAUGACAUACAAUCCUCCGUGUUAAAUUUCUUCAGUGCUUCCUUGGUAUAUUUCAGUUGUCCAAUGAAGUUCCCUUGCUGUGAUUGUUGAAUUUCUAGUCCUAGAAAGAAUGCCAUCUCUCCAAGAUCAGUCAUCUCAAAUGCUUGCAUCAUUUGAGCCUUAAAUUGCUUCACCAAUUCUGCAUUGCUUCUUGUGACAAGCAAACCAUCAACAUAUGAUGAAACAACUAUCAGUUCAUCAUUAAUAACUUUGAUAUACAAAGUUGAUUCAUCCAUGCUCUUGUUGAAGCCUUUCUUUUGCAAAUACUCAUCAAUCUUGCUGUACUAGACUCUUGGAGCUUGCUUUAACAAAUAUUCCUUCUCUGGAUCUACAACACAACCUCAGGUUGUUCAACAUAAAUUUCUUCCUCCAAAUAGCCAUUUAGAAAGUCCAACUUUACAUCAAGCUAGUAAUUCCUCCACUGCUUUUGUGCUGCAAGUGCUAGAAGCAAUCUAAUGGUGUCUAAUCUUGCGACAGGUGCAAAAGUCUCAGAAAAAUCUACACCAAAUAGUUGAGCAUGCCCUUUUACAACUAGCCUUGCCUUAUAUUUGUUUAUGGAACCAUCAGCAUUAAGUUUGGUUCUAUAAACCCAUUUCACACCAAUAGUUUUCUUGUGUAGUGGUCUGUCCGCCAACUCCCAGGUUUGAUUCUUAUGAAUCAUCUUGAUCUCCUCCGCCAUUGCUGCAAUCCACUUCGGAUCCUUAACAGCCUCAUCAUACCCUGUAGGUUCAAACAGAACCAUAUUGCACCUUUGAUAAAUUUCUAUAAGUGACCUAGUACCUCUUAUAGGCUCAUCAUCAAUCACAUCAUCAACUUGCAAUUUUGGUUCUUUUUCUUUUGCGUAAACCUGACUUUGAUACCACUGUGUAGGUUUUUAGAGUAAGAAUAGAAAACAUAGAAAAUUUCGGACUGAGAAUUGCAUCUAUUCAUUGUUGCAAAAUUUGAAUUUAUAUAGAAAAAUAAACAAACAAAGCAAAAAAAUUUGCCUACAUAUCUUCAACAGAUUUCUAAUAACAUUAUUAAGUCAAAUAUAAAUUCAAAAAAAUUCAAACUAAAAUAAUAAAUUGUUCCUGCAAUCUUGCAGAAUAUUUUCAACAAAAUACCAACCUUACUAGUUUAUUUUAGCCCAAAUCUUAUAGCAAAUAUAGCACUUGUCAUCAAAAUGAUAGAGAAUCCAUGGGAAACCAGCGGAUUGGAAGCCAUCACGUCCUCGAAAUGAUAGAGAAAGUCAAAGAUGUACCAAGUGUAUAGGACAAACUAUACUUAUUAUGGAUAAUGAAAAUAUGAUGACCACAACUUCUUAUAAUUUGGUCCUAAUUUGCAGCAAUAAUAAUAAUAAUAAUCAAAUCCCUAUAAUCAAGGUGCUAAAUAUGACAGCUACAAAUAUGCUCUGUGCUUAUGAAACUUAAAGUAAUUAGUCCCAACAAUAUAAGGUCAACUAAAAUCAAAUCUGAAAGCUAAAAUAGAAAUAUAAGGCUGGAAAUCUCUAAAUAUACAAUUAACACUUGUCAACACUCCCCCUCAAGUUGGGGCAUAGAUGUCUUAAGUGUCCCAACUUGUUAAGUAUUUCUUUGAAACUCUCGUUUGACACUCCGUUAAAAUACCUACAAAUUGAUUCUCUGUCUUCACAAAAGGAGUUCAAAUUUAUCCUUUAGUUAACUUCUUCUUGAUAAAGUUUUUAUCUACUUCAAUUUGUUUAGUACGAUCCUGCUGAACCGGAUUGUAGGUUCUGCUAAUGACAACUUUGUUAUCACAGAAAAGUUUCAUUAGACCUCACAACUAAAGCCUAACUACUUUAAUAAGGUCUUUAGCCAUAACAUCUCAUAUAUACCAUGAGCCAUACCUCUAAAUUAUGUUUCAACACUAGAUCUAACUAUAACAGAUUGUUUCUUGCUAUGCCAUGUGACUAAAUUCCCUCUCACAAACGUGCACAACUAGAACGGUUGAAGGCUUGGUUAGUUGCUCAAGGGUAUGCUCAAACUUAUGGUUUGGACUAUUUUCAGACUUUCUCUCCCAAUGGCUGUCUUAAUUUAGUACAUAUUUUGGUUUCCUGAGUUGUUAAUUAUAGAUAGAGUCUACAUCGGUUAAAUGUGAAGAAUGCACUCUUAUAUGGUGAUUUGAGUGAGGAAGUUUAUAUAGAGCAACCACUUGGGUUCGUUGCUCAAGGGGACUCAAGAGUUAGAGUUUGCAUGCUAAAUAAGGCCAUUUAUGGAUUAAAAUAAUCCCCUCGAGCUUGGUUUGAUAAAUUGAGUACUAUUCAUCCAUCAUUUGGUUUUAGAAGUUGUAAUUUUGACCACUCACUAUUUGUCUUCAAGAUGGAAAUUGGCAUAGUAAUACUUAUUGUAUAUGUAAAUGAUAUUAUUGUUUUUGGUAGUAAUGUUACUAGUAUUGAAGAAGUGAAAGAUUACUCGGAAAAUACCUUCCAAACAAAGGAUCCUAGGUAGUGAAGUUGCAUAUAGUAGAUGCGAGAUUGUUUUCCCAAAGGAAGUAUGUAUUGGAUUUGCUUAAUGAAACUAAUAUGUUGGGAGUAAAGCCAACUGGCAGUUCUAUGGAGCAAAAUGUGAACCUUAAUGGAGAUGAUAAUCUUGUGUUUUUAGAUAAAAGAAGAUAUCGGAGUCUAGUGGGUAAGCUCAUUUGUUUGACAAUCACCAGACCUGACAUUACUUUUUUGGUUAGUACAAUGGGCCAGUUCAUGGGAGCACCUAAGCAGAUUCAUUGGAAAGUAGUGCAUAGAAUCCUAAGGUAUCUCAAAGGUAGGGUUAUAACUUGGAUGGGAUAACCCAACUUAACCCGGACCUAACCUGAUGUUUGGGCGGGUUUGGGAACCUUAUGUAAUUCGGGUUGAGCUUAGGUUCAUUUUUCUCAACCAGAUUUAAAUUUGGGUAAUGCCUCAGGUAACCUGAACCUGACUAUAUAUAUAUCACUUGCAAAAAAAAAACUCUUUUACUUCUGGUCUUCCAUUCUUCAACAGAGAGUAAAAAGUCCUAGCCCUUAAAACUGAAAAUACCCACACCAUAAGCCCUAGCUCUUGGUGUUGUCGUUGUCGUUCAACGCUGCCACCACUGACCAACGCUGCCACCGCCGUUCAAUGCUACCACCACUUUUAAAAGCUUCCAUUGUCUCCUUCUUCACAUACGUUUUCUUCCAUAUGCUCCAUUGUAGGUAUGAAAUCCACAUGUUUUCAUCUCUAUCUCAAGUUUUCUUGAAUGAGAAAGGUGGCUUUCGAGUCCUUCUUGCUGUUUGUCCUUUAAACUUUUAGUGUUAAGCAUGGAUUGAAUGUGAUUUGAAUAGGUUAAGCACUUUAUCCCUCCUUUCCACAAGCAUGAAAAGUGGAAUGGAAUAGGAUUCAUUUUUGGGCUAUCCAUAAUAGGGGUAAGAAGCUAUAGGCAUAGGCAAACAAAGAAAACUCCCUCAUUCCAUUCCCAAUGGGAGUGACAAUUAUUGUUUUUCAUGGGUUUUUUUUUUCCCAAUCAGUGUGGGAGUGUAGACAACAGAAUAGAUUUCAAUGGCAAAGGUAUGAACCUGACCAACUUGACCAUCAUUUAAUCAACUCAAGCAUAACCUGAAUUCAACCCGAGUUUAAUAAUUUGAGCUCAGGUUGGAAGUAGGGUUGUGCCAUACUUUGGGUUAAUGCAUUUCAAGUUUGGGUUAGCUCUCAACUUGAUCCAACCCACCGAAUUGUAGCCCUACUCAAAGGUCUACUAGUGGGUAUCGUAUCUUUGUUUGUGGUAAUUUAGUUACUUAGAGGAGUAAAAAGUAGAAUUUAGUAGAUCUAAUGCUGUAGCAGGAUAUAGGGCUAUGACACAUAUAAUGUGUUUGUGGAUUCAAACCUGUUUUAGGAGCUUGGAUUUUCUCUUGAAAAGCCCAUGACUAUGUACGGUGAUAAUCAAGCUGCUAUUCACAUUGCCGGUAACCUGAUGUUUCAUGAAAGAACCAAGCAUAUUGAAGUGGAUUAUCAUUUAUGAGAGAAAUUCUGAUGAGCAAGAAAAUGAUAACUCCUUACAUCAAAUUUGAAGAUCAAUUGUGUGGUGUGUUUACUAAAUCUUUAUGAAGAAAUCUUUUUUCUGUUGCAUGUUUUAAGAUGGGUCUUAGUAAUAUAUAUGCCCUAGCAUGAGGGGGAGUGUUAAAGAGUUAUUAGUUGUUAUUUGAUAAUGGGUAGUUUAAUCCUUUUGUUUUAUUUUGUAGAAGUCUAUAUAUGUGUUCUGUAUUCUUUACUUGAGGAAUAAUACACUCUUUUCUUUCCCUCACUCAAUAGUAAUUAAUACUGCAUGCAUUAUCCAAUAAAUUGCAGUGGAAGAAAAAACAGCCUAGCAUGCAACAUCUCUUGGUUUUUAUUUUGUAAUGUGUUGAGUUCCUAGAUUUAGUAUUAUUAAUAUGUUAGUCUUAUUAUUAUUAUUAUUAUUAUUAUUAUUAUUUUGUUAUUCUUUUUCAGAUAAAUGCCUGCAACGGAUUUUAUUGUGAUGCCUUUUGGCCAAAUUCAGCAAACAAACCCAAACUCUGGACAGAGGAUUGGAACGGAUGGUAUAAUGAUGCUGUAUGAUUUAAUGUGAUGCAGUUCAUCAUGUUCUAAUAGUAUUAUUUUUAAUACAUUUGAGCCUAUAUUCAUGCACACACACACACAUAUCUAUCUAUAAUCCACACACAUAAUACACAUAUAAAUAUAUAUAUGUCUGUAUAUAUGAAUAUUCCUACAACUUGGAAUUUGUAAAAAUGAGAAUUUGUACCCAAAUCAAUUCACAAACAAAAAUCAUGGAAUAUUAUGAGACCAACUGCAUCCCAAGUUGGGUGAACUGGGCUUAUCACUUGAAAGUCUAUUCCUAGGGGUAUCCAACUUAUAGCAAAAAUGUUUGAGUCCAUUUGAGAAAGUUCUCUUCAAACUCUUUUCCUAGAACACAAGUUGACAUAUUUUCUUUGCAUGUUUGUCUAUCUUUCCAUUCAUUUUAGUAUUGUUCUUCAUUACUUUUCUUGGUUGCCAUUAAAAUAUUUUCUUGUAUCACUUUUGUUUCCUCAAGUUUCUCAUCCUGCUUCUGUGACCUGGCACUUAAGUUAAUUGGUAAGGAUAUUGUUGAACAAUCUUGAAAUCAUAAAAUCAGUAUCAGAAUAGUUUGCCAUAUUUUACGUGCUUAAGGAAUACUUCUCGUCUAUCUCAUAUGGCCAAAGUUAUUUGAAUUUCUUUCCUACUGAGGGUAACCAACUUCAUGUGGAUUAAGGGAUACCUCUAGGGAAUUUAGAAACCUGUUUCCAAUGAGAAAUUUACAAUCAUCAAAUAUUCUAAAGAAAUUUGUGUAUUUUUCACCUGUUAAGUUACCGGUUUAAUCGAAAAACUUAAGUGGUUAAGUUACAUGCACCCCAACCCACACAUGGUGAGGCAAAAUAUAGAUUGUGGAUAGAUCACAGACAAAUAAAUGGGGGAAUAAACAGAGGGAGAGACUUGAAGACAAGACCUGUAGUAAACUAGAGCACCAAUACCAAGUUAAAGUACCAAUUUAAUUAAAAAGCUUUUGGUAAUGGUACAACAAUGUAUAUCUGCGAAGCAAUUCCAUGUGGAAAAUAUUUCAAACAGAUUAAGUGGAAUGUUUUCCUCUUAAUAAAUGAGGAUAAUCUUUCAUAUCCAUGCCUGAUUAUGAUACUCUUUGCAUGCAGCAAGUAUCUGUCCAUUUGGACCUCUGCUAGUGUUAUACCUCGUUAGCAUGGUUAUCAUGAACUUGCAAUUUAUCUCCAUCAUAUCUUUCUAAAUCCUUCUGCAUUGCAAACUUCAAUCCCAGUAAGUCACCAUCAUUUAGAACUUGCUACUAUGCAGACGCCAAGAGUACAGCGAAGGCCCACCAUCCCAACAGUCCAUACAAUCCAAAUUGGGUUGUUCCUUCUGCCUGAUUAUGAUAAAUUUUGCAUGCAGCAAGCAGCCAAAUUGGAUCUCUGCUAGAGUCAUCCCUUGUCAGCAUGGCUAUCAUGAACUAGGAAUUUUCCCACUGUCUUUCUAAAUCCUCCUAAAUUUGUGCCCUUGCUAACUACAAUCUCAAUAAAUGUCCAUAAUUUGGCACUUGCUACUAUGCAGAAAAGCAAGAUUACAGCUAAAGGCCUCCAGCCCAGCUGUCCGUACCAUCAUGAAUCAAAAUCUCCUUCUUGCUUGACCAUGUUGCUUUUGGAAAAUCCAUGAACGUUGUUGAAAGAGAGAGAGAGAAAUGCAAGCUGCAGGAGAUGAAGGUGAUGUGAGGUGAUAGAGGCCUUGAAACUCACGCCCUAUGCCAAUCGUCUUCCUUGUACUAUGGUCCUGCAAGAUCACAGAUUUAUCAGAAAAAGUGAUAGAACAGUUAAGAGUGCGAGUUAUUUUGCUGAUGAAAAUAAGAUUAAAAUGACACUCAGGGGCAUAAAGGACAGAAUGGAGAGGUAGGGAAGGGAGAGGAUGAGCCAAACCAAUACCUUUAGCCAUAGUUUGGGAACCAUUUAGCUAAAGUAACAGUAGGUAAGGCAGAGGUAGUAGUAAUGGAGGAGAAAAGGUGUUUAUUACCAGAGAUAUGAUCAGAUGCUCCGGAAUCUAGAAUCCAUGGGCCAAGAAAAGGAGACUGAGUAAAGCAGACAGAGACAUUACCAGUCCGAGCAACAGAAGCUGAUGUGGCUGCCAGAUAUCGGAGAUAGGCAUCAUAAUCACUACCAGUAAGGGUGAUAAUUUGAGAUGUGGAGCUCGCAGCGGAGUCAGGUCGAGAUAGCAGAGGAUCAGUUGACUGAGCAAUGUGGGCAGUGCGAGGAGGCCGUCCAUGUAACUGAUAGCAACGAUCUUGAGUAUGACCAAGCUUAUUACAAUAGGUGCGCUGAGGACGUUAUCCUUGACCCCGAUUGCCACUACGUCCUUCUCGAGAGUUAGUUUGAGAGGCUAACACAGAUGAAUCUGAAGGACCAUCAGUCGACAAGGUCUGAGUAGAGGAGAGACGUAAGAGACGAGCGAACACAUCAUCCAAUGAUGGUACUGAUGGACUAGCAAGAAUCUGAUCUUGGACAGACUCAAGAUUUGGACGGAGGCCAAUGAGGGUUAACACCAUAAAGAACUUGUCAAUCUAUAUUUGUUGAGCUUCAGCACCGUUAGUGAAGGACAUCAAAGUUAAGAACUCCUCCUUAAGAGAUGCAAUCCGGCCAAUAUAAGUAGAUAGUUCCAUGUCCUGCUGUCUCACAUGAACAAUAUCAGAAACCACCUUAUAAAAUCGUUGAAUAUCAUUCGUGUAUAAUCCUUUAGCUUGAGUCCAAAAUUUAAAGCAGGUUUUGUAGGCACGAAGAUGAUGUAAAAUUUUGGGAUCAACAGGUGGCCAUAAUACGUUGCAUAAUUGUGCAUCGAUUUUCUUCCAUUGCACUUUGUCAACAUCAGGUAUAGCAUCCUUAGGUGUAACAAGAUGAUCCUCAUAACCUUGUCCCAUAAACCAGAGUUCCACGGACGCUGACCAGGAGAGAUAAUUCUCACUACCAAUCAAUUUUUCCAAUGUGAUAUUAGGAGAUCCAGAGAUAACAGAUGUAAAAAUAGGAUUUUUAGUCGCCAUAUCCACUUCACCUGAGAUUGAAUCACGUUUGGAUCGAAGAGAGCCCUAAAGGGAGGUUUGAUCACAGCUGUGGAAGAAGAACCUGGUAUGUCGGGACCCAAACAAAGGAGAAAAGUGACUGGAGAUGAAGAAGAGGCCUUCCCAAGGCACACACAGGUCUUGGCCAAGGAAGAGAGCUGCCGUCGGAGGCUGAAAGAAGACCCGCGGAGGCUGAAAUGCCAAAAAAAUGGAGAAGCAGGGUUCAGAGAGGAUUGACGGAGGCUUAGAAGUGCAAGAUAGUGCCGGACGAGCCUGUUGGUAGAAGCUUGGCACUAGAAAGUGGGCCAUGCGCUGGCGCGUGGGAUUUAGGCUGCCGAAGAAAAACGGUGCGUGGGAGGCACGUGGAUCGGUUUUUGGCUCCGGUGCUUUGAGAAAAGUUGCAGAUCUCCUCUUUGCGCUCCUGAUGAUGUGGUCGGUGUCGGAAAAUAUCGCCGGGAAAAAAAGUCUUCGGAAAAUAUCGUCGGAAAAAUGUUAACGGUGAUGAGGGUUUUCUGACUACGAUAUGGUUGACCGCAAAGCUUUGGGAGAUGUAAAAGGUGACCGAAAUGAAACACAGUCAUUGGACGGAUUCUUGGAAUUAAUUACACGAGUAAACCAGAAAGAAUAAAGUUUUCUCCCUUGGCUCUGAUACCAUGUUGAAAGAGAGAGAGAGAAAACCUUAAUUCUCAUUCAUAUGAUUAACUUCUUACAAUAGAGAAAUAUAUAUACAAGGUUAGGUUGAACUAACUACCAUAUAUGUGACCUAUAUUAAGAAAGGAAAGAAAGAUUGUACACUAUAAAUACAUUAUAUUCAACAAAUGUCAAAAAGGUCACCCAGUUGGGGGAAGGGUAUUGCAAUCUAAUAGACUUGCUUUUUAGACAUGGUAGUGGAUGCAUAUCUAGUGGUGUUGAUUCCCUUGGCCCAGUUCAGAAUGUACUGUACAUGAAUAGGGGGCAGGAGAACUAUACUUAAAAGAUGACUUGUUUCUCCAUGUCCACAAGGGUCAAUCUUGUCUCAGUGAAAAUGCUUUGCAAUGGGAAUUGAUCUGAUACGUGAUAACGUUCCCUCCAAACUGCAUUUGAUCCAGCAUGCCAAGUCCAUUUCUAAAAACUGUUGUGCACAAUAAUGGGAGCUGAUAUUUGUACUUUUUGGGGUGUCCUCAAUGCUUUCUUUGUUGGUUAAAAAUACUCUGUUGAGUUGGCAUGGUUCUUUUGUGGGUAAGAAGUAAAGGAAGGUUUGGCAAGCAAUCCCUUUCUGUUUGUUUUGGAUGGUGUGGAAGAGCAAGAACAAUAUUGCUUUCUGUAAUGAGGUUUUUUCUAUUCAAAAGCUAAAAGGAGAGUUUGUUUGUUUUUUGUGGUAUGAGGCUAAGGCAUUUGUCGAUGAGUGCCCACUGACUUUCGUUGGAUUUUUUGGAUGGUUGGAUACUGGUUGAGUUUGUUAACGUUCUUUCUAUAUGCUUGUGGUUGAGCCUUGGUGGCGAAGGACGGUUUGUUAUCUUGUAUACUGGGGGCCUUUUUUUUGCAGCUCUUUUCUUUAAUUUAGUUUAAUUAUUUAUUUAUCAAAAAAUAAAUAAUUGGAAUUAGGUUGGGCCGUGUUUUUUUUUUUUUUCUUUUUUUUUGAAGCAAAAAUUCAUUAAUACUAAGUUAGAAUUACAUGAGAAGGAUGAGCAAUCCUUCACAUAAGAUCUGAUGUAUAAAAUGUCUUCUAUAUACCACACACAACUACACAAAAGAAACAAGGCUCUGUUGUCCUGAGAAAUCAAUGCAUCUACAAAAGGAGGCUGAAGCUUUGUUGUAAUCAAACUUCUAUUUGUACACCAAGUUCCAAUAAAGCUGAAUAACACUAAGAGGAAUGCUCUUGAAAUCUGAAUAAUACAAAGAGGUUGGACUGUGUUAUAAUAUGAUAUAUGUACAUAAACAAAUUGAUGGUGAAUUGACAUUUUAUUACCCCCAGAGAGAGAGAGCAAGAGAGAGAGAGAGAGAGGGACAAUGUAGAUACAUGGAAGGAUGAGAUACUCGUCAAGAAUACCAAGAAGCAAAAUACACUGCAUUAAGGCUAGGGUUCUGUGACAGUUACUUUUUACUCUCUUUGGUGUGACUUGGGUCCUACCCUUGAUGGUUAGAGGGACUUUCCUUGGAUAGCAUGAUUCCUUUGUAGGCAAGAAGCGCAAAAAGGCAUGGAAAGUAGCCGCUUUUAUGUCUCUUCUGGAUAGUUUGGAAGGAAAGAAACAAAAUUGCUUUUGAUAAUAAGGAGUUGUUGAUUCGAAGGCUGCAAAACUCUUUUGAUUGUAGUUUCUAGUCUUGGACUAAGUUGUUAUAGAUGAUGAGCCUUUACCUUUAAUAAACUUUUUAGAUUGGUUGAGCUCUAGGUAACAAUGGGUGAGGUUUUUUGUAGUCCCUCUUUUUUUUUUUUUUUUGGUUCUGCCUUCAGGCGCUUGUUGCAUACUUCUUGGAUGCUUUGGGUCGUCCUUUGGGCAUCCUUUUGUUUUUAUAUAUACUAUCGUGAUUUUACCUAUAUAUAAAAAAGUUCCCUUCAAAAACUUCUGAUGAAGAGGCUCCUUGUGGAGCUAGUUGAUUAAUUUACUGGUUGGUUGGUAGAGUCCUCCAAAGGAAACAACAUACUGUCUCUCUAGUGAAGAUUCAAGAAUUUGUGAAUCCAUCAUCUCAUUUCCAAGCACCUUUUCCCCUUAUGGACAUGCAGGAGAUGACAAUGGCCGCAUUCCCUUCCACAACAAAGUUGUUACUGCUUUCGCAAUAGACAAGCCUCCCAAGAAGGUUAGAAUUACUUCCUUUGUAAUCAAACCAGAACCUAUCUUUAGAAAGCUUUAUUCACACUAUUAUUGUGAUCUCUGAUAACACUCCCAAUUUUCAUUUGACUUGGAUUUCUCAAUCACCAUCUUUCAAGAUUAAGUUUUGGAGUCCCUAAGAGAAGAGGGCUUCAUAAUGCCAUAGCCUCAGCUUGAGUCCUACUGCCUGUGCAAACUUCUGUUCAUCCAAGCACAGCUUCCUACAUGUCUUCAGUAAUCCUGGUAUUCAUAAUUGAUCAUCCAAUCUUCUACCUCAAUAGAAAAAAAGUGAUAAUAUGAAAACUGAGGAUUGCUGGUGUUUCAAAAUUCAUAUUUACUCAAUGUCAAAUGAAUACAUGACACUUACUGAGGUGGCUUAAUAGGCUUCAUGAUAUAAACCCUUCACAGAAAGGCUACAUAGUUUUGAUAUUGAAAGUUGUAGUUGUCUCUGCUUUUGCCUCUAAGUUCACAUCAUGUGUGUGCCCAUUUGUGUUUCAUUUACAAUUACUGGUUUAAAGUUGUUUCUCUACUGGGAUCUUUAUUUAGUACAUAUUCUUAGAUCUUGAUAACCAUUUGCAUUUAUAUCAAUGGGUUUAUAAACAGUGAUUCACCUUCUGAGGUUAAAUAUUUUGAAGGUUUGCAUCUUGGGGUGGAAGAACACCUAAGAGACCAGUUGAGGACAUCGCAUUUGCAGUUGCUCGGUUUUUUCAACGUGGAGGGAGCUUUCAUAAUUAUUAUAUGGUAUAAUGCCGAAGUUAAUGCUGAUUUUGGUGUUAAAGAGAUAUUUAAGCCAAAAUGUAACUUUUAAAAAUUAUUCAAAUAUUGAAACCAAGAAAUUCUUUAAAAAUGAAUUUCUUUAGUGAUGUUAUUUGCUGGAUUCAAAGUUUUGGUUUUUUUUAUUUUAUUUUUAUUUUUUAUUAACAAAAUGUUCUAUAUUUUUACUAAGACAAAUAAUUUAUUAAGUGAAAAAAUGAAGACAAAUUAUAACUAUCCUUCUAGUGAAACCUAGAAAUAAGGGAAGAGUGCAAAUAAGAGACCAAAAGAGUGACAAGAUAUGAAAAUCAGUGUAGUACCUUUAGAAACCCAAAGAAAGUAUGAAGCUUCUGUAGGCAAAAAUCCCCUGCAAAUGUGCAUACUUUUUGUAGGUUUGGGUAAAAAUGUAGAAGUAAUAGCUUCAAUGGGCUAAUGAACAGAAGCAAUUUCACAAUUCCUUUUAUAUUAGCUAAAUUUAUCAUAACUUCAAAAUUUUAUUUAGGUAAUAUCAAAACUUAAUGAAAAAUUAUGUUUUCAUACAAAAUCUGCACAUGCUGCGUACUAACAAGGUAAUGCAAGGCUUUUCUGCUGCAUGCUUGCAGUAUUUUGGUGGGACAAACUUUGGCCGUUCUUCUGGAGGCCCAUUCUAUGUUACUAGUUAUGAUUAUGAUGCUCCCAUUGAUGAAUACGGUGAGUGUUUAAAUAACAGAAUUCAUUCCCGAGUUGGUAACCAUUGUUAAUAGAGAUAUCGGUUACUUGUUUUCAAAUCUUCUCAUCAAUAUCAAUGUUGACAUUUCUUAUCCAGACCAUGUGUUUGAAUAUAAUUUUAUUUUAAUGUAGGCCUUCUGAGUCAACCUAAGUGGGGACACUUGAAGGAGCUGCAUGCUGCUAUAAAGCUUUGUGAACCUGCUCUAGUUGCUGUUGAUUCACCCCAGUAUAUCAAAUUGGGGCCCAUGCAGGAGGUUGGUGUAAAGAGUAAAGUUAUAUAGAGUUUAUGGUAUAUAUAUAUAUAUAUAUAUAUAUAUAUCUAUAUAUAUAUAUUGUUUGCUAGAAAUUUUUCUUGGACUUAAAAUAUAUAAAAGGUACUAUUUGCUUCAUUGUGAAUGAGAGGCUUGGUGCAGGAUAGGGUUGGGGUGGUGGUGGUUGUUAUUGACAAUUAUCUGGCUAAACAUCAUACGAAAUUGAAUUUCCAACCGGCCCCAUUUAGGGGAACUUGGUACAACCAAAAAAAGACUUGGUCUAUUAUUUUUAACAAAGUUUGAAAAAGCUUCUCUAAAUUCUUGCGUGGUAAUGGAUAAUUAAUCCGUUUUUAGAAUGAUUUAUGGUGAGACGAUACCCUUCUAUUAACUUUAUCUUUAUCUUCACCUCCUACCUAAAGUAAGGGGUUUCCUAUUGCUAAUCUCUUUUCUUUCUCCUAUGAUUCCUUUCUUGGAAUUCAACUUUGAUAGAAAUUUGAGGACUAAGAUAUUAAUGACCUCUUAUCCCUUUUAUUGUCCCUUGUAGAACACCUUUUGUUAGCUUCAUAUUUGCUGAAGCAUUAUAUACAUUGUGAACUCAAAUCCUAACAACUUAAGCUUUUAGGAAAAUUAGUAGCUCAAGAUGGUAUUAGAGCUUCAAUUAAUUGUGGGUCUUGGGUUCUAAUCCAACUAGCAUCUAUUUAUUUAUCUAAUUAUUUUGAUCAGAAAAAUGUGAUUUGUUUGCCUCUAAUGCGGUCUUCGUCUUGCACAAUGGGUAUGAGACUACACAUGUGGGGGGUUGGGGGUUUGUUUGAGAAUGAUAUAUGUCAUGGGCUCAAAUCCUAACAGCAUAGACUUUUAGGAAAAUUAGUAGCUCAACAAUGUUCCUUGUGGCCUAUAACUCCGUUUAAACUUUUAAGUUACAUUAGCAGCUUAAUAUGGUAUUAGAGCCUUUGUUUUCAGGAGAAUAUGAUUUUGAAUCUGACCACUUGUUUAUUUUCCCUAUUUAUUGAGAAUAUAUUCUAAUUUACAGAAGGCUGCCCUUGAGGCAUGAUGUUACAACUUUAACUUUUAGCUAAAAAUUAGUAGUAACACCUCUCUCUGCCUUUUAUCUUAGAUGAGAGUUGUUAGAUGCUGGAUUUUGGUUGUCUUUGCUUCUUUGCUUUUGCUUUCUUUCAAAAAUUGAUACAUAUAUUUCUUUUUUCCCUUGAGUAAAGUUUAUCAUGAAUUUUUAGACUUCUCUAGAAUUGAAAGCCUUUGGUUGAGAAUUGUAUAUUGAGCUUGGAGAGUGAGAUAUUUGUGGACCAUCUUUUUUCCGUAGCUUUUUUGGAAUUGGAUUUUUGCUGAAGGUAGUUUUUCUUGGCUCAGUGCAUGGACUGCCCCCAGAGACAUUCCAGAUAUAUUGGUUAUCUCCUUCUAGAUCUUUGAGAGAAGAUCUAGAGGGGGAUCAUUUUAGAGGAAGGCAAUCCUUACUACCUUGUAGGUUCUCUAACUUGAGAAGAAUAUUGGAAUAUUUGAGGACUAAGGCAGGUUUGUGGUUGACUUGCGAACAGUAUUUGAUAUCUCAAUGUUCUUUGGAUGUUUGUAAUGAAAAAGUUUAUUGGUAUUGCCUUUAGCAUCAGCCUACUAGAUUGGAAUGCCUUCCACUUGGAACUGGUGGUUGUUAGGUUGAAUGUUCUCAUUAUCAAAUGGAAGUCUUGAGCUUAACUUUGGCCUACAGCAGAGGGGUAUUAGUGGCCUUUUUAGAGAUCAUAGGAGGGGAAUUGUUGCAACUUUCUUCAAGUCAAUUGGUAUUGAAUUUGACAUUAAGGUGGGGAUACUUACAUCAAUGGAAGGCCUUAAAUAGGUGAAAUCUUUGGGUGUUUUGAACAUUGUGGUGGAUAGAUAUUCAGCAAAUAUGCUUUUGUGGAGAACUAGGGAUUUGUAACCAUUGGUUGUGGAAAUGUGAUUGCAAAUUUGUUUGAAAGUUUAGAUUGACAAAGUUUUAUAGACCUUCUUCCUUACCUGGUGUUGGUUUUAGAAGCCAUGCAAAAGGAAUUUUAAAACAAGAAUUCAUAUAUAUAACUCACUUGAAAUCAUGUGGUUCAAGCUAAUAAAGAGAAUUACCUAGUUCGUUCUUUGGAGAAGAGUCCUUUGUAGAGGUUGUUAAGAAGAAUAUGGUCUAGAAGGGUUUUGAAGCCUGGCUUUACAUUGGGGAGAGUGAGGUAUAGAAAGGGGAGGAUUACUUCAAGCGUUGUCUAGUGGGAAGUCUUAGUGAAGGUUUUUGCUCAGCGACAAAGUUGUGGGCAUUGAAGAAUUGGCCUUUUGGUCAAUGGGCACUGAAGAAGGACCUCAUGGUCCUAGUAUUUAGGAGAGCUCUUCUCUUGUUUGAUUUCAAAGAUUAUAGUGAGGUAGAGAGAGUUCUCUUUAGAGGCUCAAGGAGGUUCGAUGGAAGAAUCUUGCAAUUAUCGUGGUAGACGUCGGAGAUUGGGUGUGUGGUAAAAGAAGGGUCCAUUAAGGAAGCAUGGGUGAAAGUGUUGGGUUUGCCUCUAUAUCUGUGGGGUUGGUAGGUGUUCUUGAAGAUUGGGAAUGUUUGUGGUGAUUUUGUCACAGUGGAUGUGGAUAUAACUUAUUCAACCCAAAUGCAAUUGACAAGGAUUUUGGUGAAGUUGGACGGGAGAGUCUUACCAAAGCCUUUGCAAGUGGUGGUGGGUUCAUCUACAUUUUCUUUACAGUUGUAGUGGGAGGUUCCUCUUAGGUUCUCAAAGGUGGUUUCGAGAAAUUGCAAUUGUGGAACUUCAGUUUUGGAGGUUAGGGGUGAUGAGGGGGGAUCCUCAUGCGUUGGGUUAGAAGGGGGGGAAGAGCUUUGUUUUGUGCAGGCAGAAAAGGGUGUUGUGUUGUUUGCAGAAGGUAGACGAGAUAGGGUAGGUGAAGCUAUAGACUUCAACCCUAUUGUAGGUGCUGCAUGAGUUGGAUGGGUAGGAGUGAGGGGGGACUAUCCUCCUGUAGUCAGUAAAGACAGGCAAGAUGGGACGACUUUUAAAGGGUUUUCUAGUGGGCCUUUUAGUAGGUCUCCUAGUUGGGAAGUGAAGGGGCUUCAAGAGGCUCGUAAGGCUAGUGAGCUUGUUUUUAGUAAAGGCCCUUUUGGCUAUUGGGCCUAAGUUGGGGCCAAAGAGGGGUCGGGCCCAAGAAAGAGGGGGCUUUUAUAAGGAGGAAGUAGGGAUGUUUUUUAUUAAGUGUGGGUCAGUAGACAAUUCUCUAGGGCUUAUUGUUGGAGUUUUUCCAUCUCCAAAGAGUAAAGGGAUAUGUCAUCUACUCCGCGAGUGGUGUGCACUGAUGAAGUGCUGCAAAAGAAGGCCUCAAGGUACCCUACUCUUUUGUCUUCUCCUUUGGUUCCUUUUUUAGGGUGGGGGGUAGGUUGUCACGGGCUUAGAGUUCUAACAUAGUGGCAUGGCCCAUGUAGCAACCCCAUUGGGCAAAAAUCAAAGGGCUUAGCCUACACGCCAUGCAUUUCGAUGCCACUAUGCUGGUUGGUUUCAUCUUGUCAUUGACUCAUCAGGGGAACGACUCCAACUCCCGAGUAGUUUGUGUAUGAGUGGUCAAACUCCUAUUCAUUGUCAAGUCCUUGACUAGCGACAAGUUCCCAAUAUUAACUGGGUCGGCUUACCUAAACUCUGAAAAAGCUUCCAACAUCACUUACAUGCCUUCUCCUUAGAGCAAUUCCCAUUUCAUUAUGCUCAAAUCGGCCAACAUACUAGUAUUGAUUAGCACCUUUGCUACGGUCGUAGACACCAAACAAACAGUCCGUGACACUCUCCCCCACCCAAUCUCUUGCACGCCCUCGUGCAAGGCUUCAUGUCUUCACCAAAUGAUGCCCUCGAAUGUUGCUACUCCCUACGAGUCAUUAAUUACCAAAGGUCCGUUGCUGACACCCAUUGGACCGAAGGUGAUGUCCACUCACCUUGGACACAACAUUCACUCAUCGUGUUAACCCGGUAACACCUCAGAAGUGCGUCCCUAACACCAACUUCCACCCCUAGUAGGCAACACACCCUUGCACGCUACUUGAACAGCGACACCUCAUGAUCUGAAGGCACCCAUACUCCCCUCAUGGGUCCUCAUAAGUGUAGCUUUAAUACAUGCCACAAUGUCCACCUUCGUACUAUCACAAUGUUAGGCUUCAUAGGCUACUUGUAUUGUCAUUAGGAGAGAUAACUCAUCGGCUAAAGAUCAUCAGAAAGGAACACUACUAUGCUCGACCACCUUUUGGGAGCACUGUUAUGCUCGACCUUAUGCCUAGCUCUAAUACCACUUGUCAUGAGCCUAGAGUUCUAACGCAAUAGCACGGCUCCCUACACGCCAUGCAUUUCAAUGCCACUAUGCUGAUUGGUUUUAUCCUGCUAUGGACUCAUCAAGGGAUCGACUCCAACUCUUGAACAGUUUGUGUAUGAGUGGCCAAGCUUUUCUUUAUUGCCAACUCCUUGACUAGUGACAAGCUCCCCAAACUUAACCGGGUCAGCCUACCUGAACUCUGAAGAAGCUUCCAACAUCACUUACACGCCAUUUCUCUAGAGCAAUUCCCAUUUUGUUAUGCUCAAACCAGCCAACAUAUUAGUCUUGAUCAGCACUUUUGCUAUGGUCAUGGACACCAAACAAACGGUUCGUGACAGGGUGGUCUCUUCUUGUACUUAUUGUUGGGAUUGGGUUUUUUGUGGGAACUAUGUGUCCAAUGCCGAUGUGGUCACUGGGGAAAUGGAAGGGGAGGUCUUUCAGUAGUCAUUGAGGAUUUUAUGAGCAUACGGGAGUGUAGUGGGGUGUGGGUUUGGUGCAAAUAGGGAAAUGGAGGAGUCUAGUUUUGGGGAAGGAAUUUCUGAAGGACGUUGUGAGGCAGAGAGGCUAGUUGUUGAUGACUAGUCCAUCAAUUGCCUUGCCUAGUUUAAUGAUUUUCUGGGAAUGCCUAUGAAGGGUUUUGAGGGGGAAAUUUUAGCUAUUUUGAAGGAAAUGAAAAUGAGGAAAGAGUAGAGGGCUCUAGUGGCAACUGGCGGUAGGGUGAAGGGUGGCUCCUCAAGGUUUGAGAGGGAGCUUAAAAGGUUGCAAUGUUUUGUAAAUUAUAGAGCCUCCAGUGGUUGAAGAAGAUAGAUGAGAGAGGGUGGGAAUGCUGAUGCAGAUUCUAUAUGAAGCUAAGAAUUUUGUCUUGGAACGUGAGAGGGGCAAAUGGCUUUGAUAAGAGGAAAGUAAUCAAGUUUAUGGUUAAAUUGUAGAUGAUAGAUUUGGUUUGUCGGCAAGAGACCAAGAUUUAGGAGAUGACUAAAGGGUUGGUUAGCUCUCUUCGUGUAGGCACAACUAGGUGGGGGGGUGUUCCUGAUUUUUUAGGAUAACAGGGUGCUUGAGUUGAUUCGAAUGGAGGUUGGAGAGUUCUUAAUUUCUUGUCAAUUGAAGACUUGCGAGGAUGGUUUUUGUUAGGUCUUUUCUAGGGUGUAUGGCCCAAUUACGAGUAGAUAUAAAGAGGCUUUCUGGUAUGAGCUGGGGGUUGUUAGGGGUUUGUAGCAAGACCCUUGGUGUGUAGGGGAAGAUUUCAACUUGAUCAAAUUUCCUAUGGAGUAGAAUAGGAACUUGUUAGAUAAUGUAUAGUUAUUUAGGUUAUUUACUUUUCCUUUUCCUUUUCUUUCCUUACUGUAUUGUGGGUCCCACUAGCAUGUAUAUAUAUACCCAAGUCCAAUGUGUAUUCUUGACAGUUUUUCAAUAACAAUAAUUAGGGAUUCUCCCUUUUCUCUCUCUCUCUUCACAUGGUAUCAAAGCCUAGGGAGAAAAAAAACCCUAAUUAUUUCCGAUUUAUCCGUGAAUCCAUUCUGCGAAAUCUUUCAGUGACCGUGUUUCAUUCCGGUCACCCUUCCCAUCUCCUAAAGCUUUCGAUCAACCCUCACCGUCGUCGGAAAACCCUCAUCGCCGGCGAUCUUUUCCGGAAACUUUUCCGGCGAAGUCCUUUUCCGACACCGACCAUACCAUCAGGUGCGCAAGGAGAAGAUCUUCAACUUUUCUCAAAGCACCGGAGGAAGAAUCCCAGCCACGCGCCGGCCACGCGCGUCUCUUCUCCGGCGGCCUGAAUCUCACGCGCCGGCGCGUGGGGAACUUUCCGGCCACGCGCUUCCACCUCCAGCCUCGCCUGACGCCGUCUAGCCACCCUCCAUCUGCGCUUGUGUCAUCUGAGCCUUGAAAUUGCAUUUUUUUGGGGUUUUUUUGUCUCCGCCGGCCCUCUAAACCGCCUUUCCGGCGACCUUCGGUGACUUCCUCUCCACCCCGGGCCCUGCAUGUGUCUUAGGAAGUCCACGAUAAGCCGUAUUAGGGCUCUCUUUGAUCCAAACGUAUUUCAUUCACCAGAUAAGUAGAUAUGGCUACUAAAAGUUCCACUUUUUCCUCUGUCAUAACUGGAUCUCCUAUGAUUACUUCAGAGAAAUUGGUUGGCAGUGAAAAUUAUUUGUCCUGGUCUGCCUUUGUGGAGCUUUGGUUUAUGGGUCAAGCUUAUGAGGAUCACCUUGUUACGCAGGAGGCGGAUAUCCCUGAGGUUGACAAAGUACAAUGGAGGAAGAUAGAUGCACAGUUAUGUAGUGUGUUAUGACAAUCAGUUGAUCCUAAGAUUCUGCAUCAUCUUUGGGCCUACAAAACAUGCUUUAAAUUUUGGAAUCAGGCGAAAGGGCUAUACACGAAUGAUAUCCAAUGUCUUUAUAAGGUGGCUUCUUCUAUUGUCAAUGUCAGACAACAAGACAUGGAUCUAUCUACUUAUAUUGGCCAGAUUGCCUCUCUUAAGGAGGAAUUCUUGACCAUGAUGCCUCUUACUACCGAUGUUGGGGAUCAACGCAUACAGAUUGACAAGUUCUUCAUGGUUCUUACGCUUAUUGGCCUCCGUCCAGAUCUCGAGACCGUCCGCAAUUAGAUUUUUGGCAGUUCCUCCGUUCCAUCCUUGGAUGAUGUGUUUGCUCGCCUCCUCUGUAUCUCCUCCACUCAAACUUUGUCAUCUAAUAACACUUCAAAUUCUUCUGUGUUAGUUUCUCAAACUAACUCUCGAGGAGGACGCAGUGGUAACCGAGGUAGAGGCCAACGUCCUCAUUGCACCUAUUGCAAUAAGCUUGGCCACACUCGUGAUUGGUGUUAUCAGUUACAUGGGCGGCCUCCCCGCACUGCCCACGUGGCCCAGUCAUCUGAUCCUCAGUCGCCUCAGCCUCCCAGUUCCUCCACAUCUCAGGGUAUUUUCCUCACUGAUAGUGAGUAUGACGACUAUCUCCGCUAUCAGGCCACCAAGUCAGCUUCUGUUACUUCUGUUGCUCAGAUUGGUAGUGCUUCUGCUUGUCUUACCCACACAUCGCCUCUUGAACCUUGGAUUCUAGAUUAUGACGCUUCUGAUCACAUAUUUGGUAAUAAGGAUCUUUUCUCUUCUAUUACUACUACCUCUGCUUUACUUACUGUUACUUUAGCUAAUGGUUCCCAAACUAUGGCUAAAGGUUUUGGUUUCGCUCAUCCUCUCCCUUCCCUACCUCUCCAUUCUGUCCUUUAUGCCCCUGAGUGUCCUUUUAAUCUUAUUUCCAUCAGCAAAAUAACUCGCACUCUUAACUAUUCUAUCACUUUCUCUGAUAAAUUUGCGACCUUGCAGGACUGGAGUACGGGGAAGACGAUUGGCAUAGGACGUGAGUCUCAAGGCCUCUAUCACCUCACCUCGCCUUCACCUGCAGUUUGCAUUUCCACUGAUGCUCCCCUUCUCAUCCACAAUCGCCUGGGCCACCUUAGUCUAUCCAAGUUCCAGAAAAUGGUCCCUAGUUUUUCAUCUUUGUCGUCGCUUGCGUGUGAGUCCUGUCAACUUGGGAAACAUACUCGUGUCUCGUUCCCAAAGCGUUUGAAUAAUCGGGCAAAGUCUCCUUUUGAACUUGUCCACACUGAUGUUUGGGGUCCUUGUCGGACCGCGUCUACUUUAGGAUUUCAGUAUUUUGUCACUUUCAUUCAUGACUAUUCUCGAUGUACUUGGUUAUUUUUAAUGAAAAAUCAAACUGAGUUAUUCUCUAUUUUCCAGAAAUUUUAUGCUAAAAUCCAAACCCAGUUCAAUAUUUCUAUUCGUGUGUUGCGCAGUGACAAUGCCAAGGAAUAUUUUUCUGCACCAUUUACUUCAUUUAUGUCCCAACAUGGGAUCAUUCAUCAGUCUUCUUGUGCUCAUACUUCUCAACAAAAUGGGGUAGCUGAACGCAAGAAUCGACAUCUUGUUGAGACAGCUCGUACUCUCCUUCUACAUAGUCAUGUUCCUUUUCGUUUUUGGGGGGACGCUGUUCUUACAACAUGUUAUUUGAUUAAUCGUAUGCCCUCAUCUGUAUUACAUGAUCAGAUUCCUCAUUCCCUUCUUUUCCCUGACCAACCACUUUAUUUCCUUCCUCCUCGUGUUUUUGGUUGUACUUGCUUUGUUCAUAUUCUCACUCCUGGACAGGACAAACUUUCUGUCAGAGCCACAAAAUGCAUCUUCUUGGGAUAUUCCAGACUUCAAAAGGGUUAUUGUUGUUAUUCCUCUGAGACUCAUCGCUACUUUUUCUUCGCUGAUGUCACUUUCUUUGAGGACUCACCGUUUUUCUCCACCUCUGAGUCUCUUCCUGUUUUUGAAGUCUUACCCCUUCCCAUUAUCUCCCCACCUGAUGCAGUGCCUUCUCGCCCACUUCAGGUUUAUCAUCGCCGUCAUCGUGUCACUGUUCCUCCUUCUUUGGCCGCGGUACCUGCUGACUCACCUCCUAUCCCUUCGGCUUCUCCUGCCCCGGCUCUGCCUCCUUCUGCUGACUUACCCAUUGCUCUUCGGAAAGGUAAUCGAUCUACUCGUAAUCCUCAUCCCAUUUACAAUUUUUUGAGUUACCAUCGAUUAUCUUCACCCUAUUCUGCAUUUGUUUCUGCUAUAUCUUCUGUUUCUCUUCCCAAUAGCACCCCUGAGGCUCUUUCCCAUCCAGGCUGGCGACAGGCAAUGGUAGAUGAAAUGACUGCUUUACACUCCAAUGACACUUGGGAUCUUGUUGUUUUACCCUCUAGUAAAUCUACAGUUGAUUGUCGUUGGGUCUACACAGUUAAGGUUGGCCCUGAUGGUCAGAUUGAUCGCCUUAAGGCCCGCUUAGUUGCUAAAGGCUAUACUCAGGUUUAUGGUUUUGAUUAUGGUGACACUUUCUCUCCUGUUGCCAAGAUAGCUUCUGUUCGUCUAUUGCUCUCCAUGGCUGCUAUGCGUUCUUGGCCUCUGUUGAAUAUAAUGUAUUUAUAGUGUAUAAUCUUUCCUUGUUAAUAUAGGUCACAUGUAUGGUAGUUAGGACUCCUAGCCUUGUAUAUAUAUAUAUUUCUCAAUUGUAAGUAGAAUUUACAUGAAUGAGAAUUAAGGUUUUUCUUCUUUCUCUCUCUCUCAACAUGGUAUCAGAGCCAAGGGAGAAAACCUAAUUCAUUCCAGUUUCCCGUGUUAUCAACUCCGGGAAACCUUCCGGUGACCAUGUUUCAUUCCGGUCACCUUCCCCAUCUCCCAAUACUUUCCGAUCAAUCGGAUCGUCGUCAGAAAACACUCACCGCCGGCGAACUUUUCCGGAGAACUUCCGGCGACGUCUUUUUCCGACACCGACCAUACCAGAAGGAGCGUCUGGAGGAGAUCUCCAACUUUUGUGAAGGCACCGGAACCAAAAGAUCAUCCACGCGCCGGCCACGCGCAAUUUUCCGGCCGGCGACUGCAUCUCACGCGCCGGCGCGUGAGGACUUUCUCGGCCACGCGCCUCCUCCUCCAGCCUCACCUGACGCCGACUAGCCUUCCUUCAUCCCUGGUUCUGCCAUCCGAGCCCUGCACAUACCUCUUUUGGGGUUUUUUUGCCUCCGCCGACCCUCCAAACAAUUUUUCCGGCGAGCUUCGGAUACUUUUUCUCCAUCCUAAUCCCUGCACGUGCCUAAGGAAGUGUUCUUCUACCUUUCCGGUGGUGCCACGCCGCGAUCUAAAGCCGUCUCCCUUUCCAGUGGUGCCACGCCACAAUCUGCAGCCGUAUUAGGGCUCUUUUCAAUCCAAAUAUACUUCAUUCUCCAGAUAAGUAGAUAUGGCUACUAAAACUCCCAUUUUUUCCUCUGUUAUAUUUGGAUCUCCUAUGAUUACUUCAGAGAAAUUGGUUGGCAGUGACAAUUAUCUUUCCUAGUCUGCCUCUGUUGAACUUUGGUUUAUGGAUCAAGGAUAUGAGGAUCACUUGAUUACACAGAAGGCAGAUAUCCCUGAGGUUGACCGCGUACAGUGGAGGAAGAUAGAUGCACAGUUAUGUAGUGUAUUAUGGCAAUCGGUUGAUCCCAAGAUUCUUCUUCAUCUUCGGGCCUACAAAACUUGUUUUAAAUUUUGGACUCAGGCCAAAGGAUUAUACACGAAUGAUAUCCAGCGUCUUUAUAAGGUGGCUUCUGCUAUUGUCCAUAUCAGCCAACAGGACUUGGAUCUAUCUACUUAUAUUGGUCAGAUUGCCUCUCUUAAGGAGGAGUUCUUGACUGUGAUGCCUCUUACUCUUGAUGUUGGGGCUCAACAAACACAGCUUGACAAGUUCUUCAUGGUUCUUACUCUUAUUGGCCUCCGUCUGGAUCUUGAGCCUGUCCGCGAUCAGAUUCUUGGUAGUUCAUCAGUUUCGUCCUUGGAUGAUGUGUUUGCUCGCCUCCUCCGUAUCUCCUCCACUCAGACUUUUCCAUUUGAUAGCACUUCAGAUUCUUCUGUAUUAGUUUCUCACACAACCUCUCGAGGAGGACGUAGUGGUAAUCGAGGUAGAGGCCAACGUCCUCAUUGCACCUAUUGCAAUAAACUUGGCCACACUCGCGAUCGUUGCUAUCAGUUACAUGGGCGGCCUCCUCGCAUUGCCCAUGUGGCCCAGUCCUCUGAUUCUUAGCUGCCUCAGCCUCCGAGCUCCUCCGCAUCUCAGGCAUCUCAGGCCUCUGUUGCCUCUGUUGUCCAGCCUGGUAAUGCCUCUGCCUGCCUUACCCAUACAUCUUCUCUUGGACCCUGGAUUCUAGAUUCUGGAGCUUCUGAUCACCUAUCUGGUAAUAAGGAUCUUUUCUCCUCUAUUACUACUACCUCUGCUUUACCUAAUGUUACCUUAGCUAAUGGUUCUCAAACUGUAGCUAAAGGUAUUGGUUUGACCCUUCCUCUGCCUUCUCUACCUCUCACUUCUGUCCUUUAUACUCCUGAAUGUCGUUUUAAUCUUAUUUUCAUCAGCAAAAUCACUCGUACUCUUAAUUGCUCUAUUACCUUUUCUGAUAAAUUUGUGACCUUGCAGGACCGAAGUAUGGGGAAGACGAUUGUCAUAGGACGUGAGUCUCAAGGCCUCUAUCACCUCACCUCGGAUUCAUCUCCUGCAGUUUGCAUUUCCACUGAUGCUCCUCUCCUCAUUCACAAUCGUCUGGGCC
rnacentral:lncRNA from 1 species